rnacentral:lncRNA from 1 species
UUUUAUUUUUCAAAAUUUGAAAUCUUAUCCUCAAAACCUCAUUUCUCAACUCUAAACCCUAAACCCUAAACUCUAAACCAUAAACUCUAAACCCUAAACUCUAAACCAUAAACCCUAAACUCUAAACCCUAAACCCUAAAUCCUAAACCCCACCCUUUAACUCUAAACCUUAAGUUUGUGACUUUCGAUAAAACAUUAAGUGCUAUUUUUGUGACUUUUGACCUUGAGUGCUAGUUUGAGAACAUAAACUUGAUUUAGUGUUAUUUUUGUCUUUUUCUCUUAAUGAUAUUGUUAAGAUAAUAUAAUUAAUAAAAAAUUAAACUAAGUGAAGUAUGGAAAGAUAAUUAUUGUAAUUAUAUUAAUAAAAUUACUAAAAAUACUUGUUAUCCUUGUUUUUAAAUAGUACGAAAAAGUAAUUUAAUUUUAAUAAUAUAGACUUAACCUUUCAUCAAUCAAAAAGCUCACAUCGGCAUAAAUAGGCCUAUUUUAGGACAAUAUCUUAUUAUGAAGAAAAUGAGCCUUUGGGCCUGUAUCUUUCUUGUGACAUGGGUGAAUGACCUUUGAUGGAGAUUUGAGUUCGAGAUCAUCGAUUGUGGCUGGCGAUGGAGAAUCAUCGCAGGCGAAGCUUGCUUGAUGAUGAUGGUGAAAUUGGAUUACAGUAGAGAGACGGAAGAAGAAUGCCGAAGUGAAGCAGUGCCGAUGAGAGCAAGCUCUUCUUGAGGCUCAGCUUUGGAGUCAGCGACGGUUGAUGAUAAAGAGAUUAUCUCAAAAUGUCAAUAAAAUUUCAAGAACUGAGACCUGAGUCAAUGACCUACCAGGAAAGAUUCUUAGGUAUCUUAUUGGUCUUGACGAAUGCAUUAUUAUACUCUUUAUCUCUCUCUCUCUCUCUCAUUGAAAAUGUCAAACUUGUUGAUCUAAGUUGUCACCAACCAACAAAGAGACAGACGACUUAUAUACACGCCAACGAGCUUGUUGAUCCCUUCUCAGCUAUCAGCAGCCAUUUUUUUUAAAAUAACAAAAAUCAUAUUAUCUAACAAUGAUUAAUCUUUACUACCUCAAACCAAUGAAAACAAAUUUUAAACUAUAUAGUUUAUUUUAAAAAUUAAACAAAAACUAAAUGUUUAAUUAUUUACUCGAUAAUAUAAAUCUAUGAAGCGAAAAGUUUAAUUUUUAAAAAACUUUAUAAAUUUGUGAAAUUUUACAAUAUCUUUGAAUAUGACAAUAAAACAAUAAUGAAAUAAUAAUCCGAAAAUAUAUAUAUAGGAGAAGAUACAAAUACAUGUGAAAGUUUGAAACAAUAUAUUCAAUGAAAAAAAUAUACAAUAAAAUUAUUAUGUUUUAAAACUUGAUAGACACAUAUAUAUAAUAUAUACCAAUUUAAAAUUGAAAACAAAAUAUUUAUAUAAAAAUAAAUGAAUACAAAAACCCGCACGGUUGCGUGGAUUGAGAUCUAGUGAAAAGUUAAAAUUAAAGUUUGAGCCGGCGGCUAUUUCAACCAUUUGCUCCUUCAACGCACCUCCUUGUUUCUCUUAUUUGCUGUUCUUUGGAGAUCUGUAAUUGUUUCUCCAGCACCACUAUCCACUAAUCCAACUACUCCAACUUCUACAAUACAUCACAUGCUUAAUCAUCUGAUAGGCAAAGAGAUAUGGUUUCGUAUCCCCUAAAUAACAAAAAUCAUAUUAUCUAACAAUGAUUAAUAUUUACUACCUUAAACCAGUGAAAACAAAUCUUAAACUGAGAAUUUUUUAUGUGGUUUACAUAUAUGUUCCACCAUUGAGUUUCUUUUCGGCAAAGAGGUCUCUUGCCUUAGCUUGAUAUGCAUAAAUAGGCCGCUAAAAACAAGGAGAGCAAUGUAAUACCAUUCAUUUUAUUGAGCUUAUUUUGGCUAUAUAAAAUUUCAAAGUUAGUUAUUCAGUAAAAUAAUAAUUUCACGAUAUUACCUAGGCCUGAGAUUUAUUAUCUGAGAUCCGGAUUCGAUCCGGAUAGUAAAAUCUUGGAUCUGUCCAAACCGAAUCCGGAUCCGGAUAUCUUAAUUUUUAGGUCCGGAUAUCCGGAUCCGCAUCCAUAUUUUUAAAACACAUUAAAUUUUUAAAUUUCAUUAAUAUUAAUAUUUGAUAUAUUAAUAUUUAUACAUGAUUUAAUCUUAUAAUAUAAUAUUUUGUUUUUACAAUGAAUAUUAUACAUGAAUUAAUCUUAUAAUAUUAUAAUAUUUAUACAUGAAUAAAUCUUAUAUUAAUAUUUAUACAUGAAUUAAUCUUAUAAUAUUAUAAACAUAUAUAAAUAUAUUUAUAAAUCUUGUAUAAAUAUUUAAUUUAUGUAUUAUAUUAAAAAAUUAGUAAAACAACCCAAACCGAACGUUUAACCAUAAGCAAAAACCAGUUAUUUUUAUUUUUUAUUUUAUAAUUGGCACAAAUUUAAUGUUGAUUAACUAAUAAUACAAAUUUGCACUAUCUUUAUUAUGAUAAUAAAAUUAAUGAUGUGAUGUAUUUUUAAGAUUACGUAAUUAAUAAAAUUGUUCAACUGAGUGAAAUAUGAAAAGAAAAUUAAUGUAAUUAUAUUAAUGAAAUUACUAAAAAGAUAAUAUACUUCUUCUUUUAUACUACUAUUCAUAUUUCCAAGCAUUUCUUAUUUUACUGCUAUCAUCCAUGUUUCCAAAAAAUACAGAAAGGUACUUCAGUUUUAUAUUUUUAUUAUUUUGAUUUAAGUUAUUAUUUGAUUCACAAAACAUGUCUGUAAAUAAAAAUAUGCAUUAUUAUUAUCAUGUUAAUAUAAUUAAUGAUGUGAUGUAUUUUUAAUGUAAUAUAAUUAAUGAAACUGUUAACCUGAAUGAAACAUAAAAAUACAAUUAAUUAUAUUAAUGAAAUUAUAAAAAAAACACUAUACUUCUUUUUAUACUGCUAUGGGGCUGUUUGUUUGCUCACCCAGGUGAUCCAUCUGGGUGAAGAUGCAAAUCAAUAUUCGUUUUGUACAUUAUAAUGCUACAUCUAUAUGGAUCACCUAGCUUAAUUUUUAAAAACUCAUCUCAAAUUCUCAUCCAAAUAAAGACGAGCCUUGAUGCUGCAUCUGGAUGCAUAUGCAUCUAGUUCACUGCAAAAUGAUAAAUGACAAAAAUAACUUUUUAAAAUCAAAAUAUUAUUUUCAAACCAAAAAUUCUAUUUUUUUUUUUGCAUGAACAUUUUUCCGCCAGAACCGAAAAAUGUAUUUUCCCGCCAAAACUGAAAAACACAUUUUUCCGCUAAAACCGAUAAUGUGUUUCCGCAAAAAAUGUAAAACGCACAUUUCCAUAAAAACACAUUUUUCGGCCAAACCAGUAAAACCAUACUUUUAGGCCAAAACGGUAAAAACGCACUUUCCCGUCAAAACCGUAAACUGGCAUUUUCCCGCAAAAACCGGAACACACAUUUUCCCGCCAAAAUCGCAAAAACGCAUUUCCCGCCAAAACCGGAAAAAACUGCAUUUUUCCUGCCAAAACCCCAAAAAUGCAUUUUCCGCCAAAACCGCAAAAACGUAUUUUCCGUCAAAACCGGAAAAAACUGCAUUUUCCCGCUAAAACCGAAAAACGCAUUGUCCCGCCAAAACUGAAAAAGUAGUUUUAAUAUGUUUCCAAACAAUUAUCAUUUAUAUUUCUAUUCAUAUUUUCAAACAGUAUCAAAAAAUACUUCAGUUUUAAUAAAACCCAAUUAUUUUACACUCUUGAUUUUAUAACUGGAACAAAGUUAAUGUUGAUUAACUAAUAAAUAAAAAUCUGCACUAUCUUUAUUAUGAUAAUAUAAUUAAUGAUAGGGCAAAUCUCCAAAAUAGCACGUUUCUAAGUUUAUAUCACAAAAAUAGCACUCAAAAACUAAAAUGACCCAAAUAGCAUCUUUCUAAGUUUAUCCUUUGAAAAUUUUAAUUUUUUUAUUUUUCAAAAUUUGAAAUCUUAUCCUCAAAACCUCAUUUCUCAACUCUAAACCCUAAACCCUAAACUCUAAACCAUAAACUCUAAACCCUAAACUCUAAACCAUAAACCCUAAACUCUAAACCCUAAACCCUAAACCCUAAAUCCUAAACCCUAAACUCUAAACCCUAAACCCUAAAUCCUAAACCCCACCCUUUAACUCUAAACCUUAAGUUUGUGACUUUCGAUAAAACAUUAAGUGCUAUUUUUGUGACUUUUGACCUUGAGUGCUAGUUUGAGAACAUAAACUUGAUUUAGUGUUAUUUUUGUCUUUUUCUCUUAAUGAUAUUGUUAAGAUAAUAUAAUUAAUAAAAAAUUAAACUAAGUGAAGUAUGGAAAGAUAAUUAUUGUAAUUAUAUUAAUAAAAUUACUAAAAAUACUUGUUAUCCUUGUUUUUAAAUAGUACGAAAAAGUAAUUUAAUUUUAAUAAUAUAGACUUAACCUUUCAUCAAUCAAAAAGCUCACAUCGGCAUAAAUAGGCCUAUUUUAGGACAAUAUCUUAUUAUGAAGAAAAUGAGCCUUUGGGCCUGUAUAUUUCUUGUGACAUGGGUGAAUGACCUUUGAUGGAGAUUUGAGUUCGAGAUCAUCGAUUGUGGCUUACGAUGGAGAAUCAUCGCAGGCGAAGCUUGCUUGAUGAUGAUGGUGAAAUUGGAUUACAGUAGAGAGACGGAAGAAGAAUGCCGAAGUGAAGCAGUGCCGAUGAGAGCAAGCUCUUCUUGAGGCUCAGCUUUGGAGUCAGCGACGGUUGAUGAUAAAGAGAUUAUCUCAAAAUGUCAAUAAAAUUUCAAGAACUGAGACCUGAGUCAAUGACCUACCAGGAAAGAUUCUUAGGUAUCUUAUUGGUCUUGACGAAUGCAUUAUUAUACUCUUUAUCUCUCUCUCUCUCUCUCAUUGAAAAUGUCAAACUUGUUGAUCUAAGUUGUCACCAACCAACAAAGAGACAGACGACUUAUAUACACGCCAACGAGCUUGUUGAUCCCUUCUCAGCUAUCAGCAGCCAACUACAGCUCUAGAUCGUGGUGAAAUUGAAUAACUUUUUUUUUAUGGAACAAGUCGUAGUGUGAAGCUUCCUUUUUUACACGCAAUCUAGACACAACUCCAUAAAAGAGUAAAACUUUCCUUCUCUCUCGAAAGUCAAAGCUGUUCAUUUGAUGCGUUGAUCGGCAAACUUGUGUUCGAUUCUUGAUUUCUCUUCUCAAUGCCUGUUGAUAUUCAAAAGUAGCUAAGCAUAUUUUUAUGUGUUUGUGGUAGGCAUGGAAACAGUGAGUUGGAAGGAGAGAUGAUGAUGCAGUGUUUAGAUGCAUUAAAGCACUUCUCCAUAUUUCUCUUGACUUGUUGUGAUUCUGAUCGUCAUCAACACUCCGGGGGUCUUCCCAACCCUAAGGAUCUGGCUAGAGGCACUGUCUGUAUGUAUUCUUCUCCUCCACCUUUUUUUUUCCCUUUUUAACUUCGCAACUUAAGUCAUAUUCAUAUACCAAUUGCAGUUACUGUGAAUGAGAUUGAAGCUCUUUACGAAAUGUUCAAGAGCAUCAGCAAAGCCGGCCUUAUCGACAAGGUAUGCCAUAAACCAUCCUCACUUUCUUCGUCCUAUACAGUAUACACUCUCAAUUAGGAUCCUUUCAAAUUAUGCAGGAACAGUUUCAGUUGGUACUCUUUAAAUCCAACAGAAAGAAGAGCCUUUUUGCUGACAGGGUAAAAAAAAACUUCUUAACUCCCCACAUCUAGGUUUCCUUGCCGUGAACUCAUAUUCAAGACUUUGCAGGUGUUUGACUUGUUUGACACCAAGCAUACUGGAAUCCUUGAUUUUGAAACCUUUGCACGUGCCAUUUCGGUUUUCCACCCCAAGGCUCGAAUGGAGGAUAAGCUCGAGUGUAAGUAGUAGAAGAGAUCUACCAUUUUCCCUUGAUAUUCAACCUUGUCACAGCUCUUUGAUAUGAUCUCUUUGUGCCUCUACAGUUGCUUUCAAGCUGUAUGAUCUGAAGCACCAGGGGUUUAUAGAGAGACAAGAGGUAUGUAUAUACAGUUGGUGUUAUUCUUAGGUAAGUGUUUGUGUGUUUCGUUUCUCUGAUCCUCUAUUUGAUGUGAAGUUGAGGCAAAUGAUGGUGGCGACUCUAGCUGAAUCUGGCAUGAAUCUUUCUGAUGGCGUGAUAGAGAUCAUCAUAGACAAGGUGGGCUUUGAUUAAAUUGAUAUCCAAUGACCAUUGAAUAGGCUUUUCUCAUCGUUAUUCUUUGACAUGAGGUAUUAAAAAAAAAACUGAUUGGUGUGUGUGUAGACAUUUGAAGAAGCUGAUAGUAAAAUGGACGGGAAGAUUGAUAAGGAAGAGUGGCAGAGUCUUGUUCUUCGUCACCCCUCUUUGUUGCAGAACAUGACCCUUCAGCAUCUCAAGUAAGCCAUGCCUCUCUUUCUAUGCCUUCAUCUCUUUUGUUAUCUUCUUCGGUGGGGGCUUACACAGUUCUUCCAUGUUUGUGUAUGUGCAGAGACAUAACAAAGACGUUUCCGAACUUUGUGUUUUACACCAUAGUGACUGACAACCCAUCAUCUGGAUGAUCAUGAGGGAUGUGAUUUUGGAUUUUUGUUGGUGCAAGUUGAUUCUUUUCUUUUUUUUUGGCAAAAGAGAUGGUACAAUAUUGUAUUUUGAAAACUUGUUUCUUACUUAACUUCGACUCUAAUUCUAUUUGUAUCUGAAACCUGGCCUUUCUGAUUUAUUUUAAAGCAAUUUUCAAAUUGACAAACCUUGGAACCAAAAUUAAAUAGAAAUUAGAACUUAACCGGUUGCCAAAAUUAAUUAGAAAUUAGUUGGUUUGCUAAAAAAAAAUAUGAGAUUUUCAUCAUGGUUGAUGUUAUUAUUAUUUUUUAAUCACAAUGAUAUACCCUCUUUGUUUGAUGUAUGGCACUUUGUUUAGACCAAGUAAAGGUGUGCUGCGGUUGAGAAAGUUGCAUGAAACUGAACAAUAUGUGUGUUGAUUGGCAAGUGUUAAAGGAUAAGACUUGUGCUUUUCCUCUUCAGUAGAAUGGAGUGUAAUGAACAAUACUGGAACCAAGGCUGUGAGUUAAAACCACCUAAGACGCUAUGGAAUCAAAAGUGGAAGUAUGAACAACAUGAUUAGGCCUAGUCUUACAAUAUCUUUUGUAGUAUACGAUAAUACCCAUUUUCUAGUAGAUAUGAAAGGUAACAUUUUCGUCUCGUCUCGGUCGUUGGAAUGAUUGACUCUUCAAUAAAAAAGGACUGUGGUUGGACUCCAGCUCGACACUGUUCUUACGAGGAACUAUAUGUAAAUCUUUGAUUAAAUAUAAUAUAAUCCUUCACUUUUUUUCUUUCUACUGCUUUCUCUCAACUGCUUCCUCCAUCUCUCUCUCUCUCUCUCUCACACGGAUCUCUUUGCCUCUGCGUAAAGACAAAGAUUCAUCUCCCUCACUCGGGUCUCCUUCUCUUCACUAACUUCUCCAGAUCUAUAUACCAACUCUCCAAAUGUGCUUCCUUUUCUCCUUCCUAGUAGCUCAGAUGCUGUAACCGACAUCUCUCCGAUCUCGAAACCAUGGAGAACAACAACAACCUUAGCCUUCGCUUCCGCAAGAUUCCUCGGCAGCCUCUUUCUCUCCCCAAGCUCGAACCUUUGGUAUGUAUGUCUAACCUCCAGCUUUAAAUUGCGUUUCUCUCUCUCUCUCUCUCACCUCUUCUUUGGGUCACAGCUUGAUGGGAAUCUGGAACAGUGGCCGCACUUGAACCAAUUGGUUCAGUGCUACGGAACGGAGUGGAUUAAGGAUGCUAAUAAAUACGGACACUACGAGACUACUCGGCCUGAUACUUUCCAAACUCAGAUUUUCGAAGGUCCCGACACUGAUACUGAGACUGGUAAGAGAAGUGAUGAUGCAUGUCCUUUUUUUGUUUUUUUGUCAAAAUGAAAUCUCACUGCUGUUCUUUCUCCUCCAGAGUUCCAUCUUGCUAGUGCUAGGAGUGCUACAUUGGAUGAGGAUGUAGCCAGCGUUUCUGGGACGCCCUUUACUGAUUCUGGAUCCCCCAAGGUUUCAACUUUUUUUCUCUGUACAGCUCUUAGUUUCAGUGGCGUGAUUUUGUUUUUGUUUGCAGCAUUUUGGGCUACCUCCACUCCCUGCGUAUGAACCGGCUUUUGACUGGGAAAAUGAAAGAUCUAUGAUAUUUGGUCAGAGAACUCCUGAGUCUCCUGCAGCUAGCUAUUCCAGGUUUUUUUUUUUUUUGCUGUACUUGUCAUACUCUCUUAUUUGUUAUUAUAUUCUUCUCAUUUGUUCUUCUCUUCUUUUCACAGUGGGUUGAAGAUUUCUGUCAGAGUUUUGUCUCUAGCUUUUCAGUCUGGCUUAGUUGGUGAGGACUUUGAUUAGCUGUUUGGGGGAUGAUAAUGUCUAUCUUAAAGUUCCUUUCUUUUUAAAUCCUUCUCUUGCAACCCUGCAGAACCAUUUUAUGGCUCCAUUUCAUUGUACAACCAAGAGAGGAAGGAGAAACUCUCUGAGGAUUUUUAUUUCCAUAUUUCGCCAACCGAAAUGCAGGAUGCAAGUCACUGAACUUUCUCCUUUUAGCCUUUUCCUUCUCAUGAUUGUGUGAAGUUGGUUUGGGUUAUUUUCUCCACUUAAAUAUUGUGAACGUGCUCCAUUUUUUUGUAGGCCAAACCUUCAUCUGAAAACCGUGGAGUGUUUUAUCUAGAUGCCCCAUCAGCAUCAGUUUGCUUGCUGAUUCAGUUAGAAAAGACAGCAACGGAGGAGGGAGGCGUUACAACAUCUGUCUAUUCCCGUAAAGAACCUGUAAUUUCCCUUACUGUCGCUCGUGUCUCUUGUUCAUGUCAAUGCCUCGCUCUUAGUGCUUUUUUAGUAACAUAAAGAUAGUCUAUGACUUACAAUGGCAUAUAAUAUCAUGACUUACAAACCGUGGAGUGUUUUAGAUUUAUCUAUAUCAUAAUUUUUGUAGUAACUCCAUUAUUUGGCCAUUUGUGAAUUAGGUGCACUUAACUGAAAGGGAAAAGCAAAAGUUACAGGUCUGGUCCCGCAUUAUGCCUUACCGAGAGUCUUUUGCCUGGGCAGUCGUUCCGCUUUUUGAUAAUAAUAUCACCACAAACACUGGCGAAUCUGCUUCCCCUAGCAGUCCUCUUACUCCCAGUAUGACUGCCGCAAGUUCCCAUGAUGGUGUUUUUGAACCCAUGGCAAAGAUCACAUCAGAUGGGAAGCAAGGUUCUUCAGGUGGAAGUUCUGUCGUUGUUGAAAUAUCUAAUUUAAACAAAGUUAAGGAGAACUACUCUGAGGAGUCGAUUCAGGUAGAGUGUUAAAUUUUCACAGCCAACAAGUUUUUAAGUAAUUCAUGUUCUUUUAUGAUUGUUUUGAACUAGAUAUGGUGUAAAGUAAUUUUCUUUAUGAUUUCCUAGAGUUCGUUCAACCUGAUCAUCGUAGUAUGUCUGUUACUUGCUAGGUACCCUUUGGUUUGUCUUUCCUGAACUGGUCAUAUAUGUAAGCAAUUAGAGUUGUAUACACAAUUGAUUGAUUACAUACAGCCUUUUUUAUUUUAAUAGACAUUUUUUUUUCUGUAUGAGCGAGUCAAUUCAUAAGGUUUGAGGAAGUGAAGUCCCUCAUUUAGUUUUCUUUUUUCUGAAGUGUAGUUAGUGACUGAGUAUAUUUAUUAAAUGCAUCACAAGAAAAUAAGAUUUCUGAGAUGUCUCUUCUUACGCUUACAAAAAAGUUUCAGAUCUGAAUUGUAGAUAUAACUGGCACGCUUUUCAUGCAUAUAAUAUCAUACUGUAUCUUGCUGCUUUCAUUUGGAGGAUAAACAUAUAUAAAAUCCCUAUAGCCCAUCUUAAACCUUUGGACAUACACUAAUAUACUAUUGUUUAAUAACUUGUUCUUUGGUUUUUACAGGACCCUAAACGAAAGGUUCAUAAACCUGUUAAAGGAGUUCUAAGACUGGAAAUUGAGAAACAUAGGAAUGGACAUGGAGACGUUGAAGAUCUAUCUGAGAAUGGGAGUAUCAGAAAUGAAUCUCUUGAUCUGACUGACCGCCUCGGUGACCUGACGCUUAUGAAGUGUCCUAGUGCUGGUUCCGGUGGACCCCAUAACAGUGGUUCCAAGUGGAGUACAGAGGAUGUUUCAAAAAACCUAACGAGCUCAAGUGGGAAUGUUGACAAUUGUUACUAUGUAAGUAUACCAGCUUUUAUCAUUCGUUCAACUCAUUCCUUGUUCUUCUUCUUUAGCUUCCCUUUAUUUUUUAUCAACCUGUUUUUUCCUCCUGAUAAUCGAUCUUUGACCGUGGUUCUACGUUGAAGUAAAACAGUGAUCAUUCUAUUUUCUAACUAGUUAUGAAGCUGGAAAGCUGUGUUCUAGUCCUUGCUAUAAUUGACCAACAAUUUGAUCUGGUUAUCCAUCUUCUGGUUCCAGGCUUUUGAUUUCUGCUCUACGACAAGAAACGAGCCUUUUCUACAUCUCUUCCAUUGCCUUUAUGUGUAUCCCGUAGCUGUUACACUGAGUCGGAAGAGGAAUCCCUUUGUCCGGGUAGAAUUGAGAAAGGAUGAUACAGAUGUCCGAAAACAACCACUGGAGGUAAUUGUUUUGAUCAUCACUAGUCCUGGGCACGAUCAUGCCUUUUUAUCGAGUCUUUAUUUGAUAUUACUUUUGAUUUGGCUAGGCAAUAUAUCCAAGAGAGCCUGGUGUGUCACUCCAGAAGUGGGCUCACACACAAGUUGCUGUUGGAGCUAGAGCUGCUAGUUACCAUGAUGAAAUUAAGGUGUCUCUCCCUGCCACCUGGACGCCAUCACAUCAUCUGCUAUUCACUUUCUUUCAUGUUGAUCUCCAGACAAAGCUUGAAGCUCCAAGACCAGUAAGAUUUAUAUAGAGUUAUGUGCUUAUUCCUCUUUGAUGAAUCUGGUGCCUAGUUACUAAUUAUCUCUUAUUUUUUUCAGGUAGUUAUUGGAUAUGCAUCACUUCCAUUGUCUACAUAUAUCCAGUAUGUAUAUGAUAUCAGUCUUCCAUAUGGUCACUAGAAUUUUCUUAUGUUUUUUCUGAAAGAAGGCUUCUCUUUUAGAUUUCCUUAGACUGCUAAUGGGCGCGCGUUUUUCAUGUGUGCGCAAAAGUGCUAGUAUACAAACCAAAAUGAAAUUGAAACAUGCAAUAAAUCAUUGAUGUCAAACUUAUCUGGACAACUGGAUUAGGCUAUUUGUGCUUUCAGUAAUUACAAGCUGGGAGAAGUGUAUGCCUUGGUUUAGUAAUUCUUUCUUUUACUGAUAGUUUCUUUGAUCAUUAAUGCAGCUCACGGUCUGAUAUUUCUCUUCCGGUUAUGAGAGAACUGGUUCCUCAUUAUCUUCAAGAGACCACCAAGGUAUGCUAUCAUCAUAUGCUUUCAUCAUAUGCUUUCAUCAUUGAUUUAUAUCUUUUUCUGGGUGCUUAGCUAAUGAUUACUGGUCAAAUCCACAUGAAUGUCUGAGAAAGUUGGGAAAUGGACUAGGAAAAUUGUUCAUAGAUGAAAUAACGGUAAAGAGCAAAAAGGCUAGACUGUUAAGAAGGCGUAGUUACCUUAAGCAAAACAAACCAUUACGAUAUUAAUAAAAGUAUAUUCUGCCACCACAUUGUGUGUGAUUUGGUCUAGUUUAGAGAUAGUGGUAGGUGAACCUGUUAAUCAGAUCUUGAUUUUGACCUCGGUAUAACUUGUGAGAUAAUUCUAUUCUUAGUGUCCUUUUAUUAUUUCUAAUCACACUGAUUUGUAUAGUAUAAUCUUAUAUCUUGAUCAAUACAACACUAUUUCGAACAUAAUGUUGACGAUGAUACUGUCUGAUAUUCACAGGAGAGAUUAGAUUAUUUGGAAGAUGGCAAGAGUAUUUUUAAGUUGAGACUGAGACUUUGUUCAUCGCUUUAUCCCACCAACGAACGUGUCAGGGAUUUCUGUCUAGAAUAUGAUAGACAUACCCUCCGAACAAGCCCUCCCUGGGGUUCAGAACUGUUGCAGGUAGUCACAUUAACUCUUGUCUCAUUUGAUUUAUUUUCUUCACUUGUCUAGUAACAUGCUCUUUAUCUUUCUCCCAAGGCAAUUAACAGUUUGAAGCACGUUGACUCCACUGCCCUGCUUCAGUUUCUCUACCCAAUUCUUAACAUGCUCCUUCAUCUUAUUGGCAAUGGUGGAGAAACUCUUCAGGUUUGUCAGCUAAAAGCUUCUGAUUCCUUUACCACAUAUUUGUGAUAUAAGCACUGGUAGAUCGUAUUUCUGUUGUCCAUGUGAAUUUUCUUUUACAUCAUUUACCACUCAAUAUGCACCAUCCUGUAUUUGCUUCAGGUCGCAGCAUUCAGAGCCAUGGUGGAUAUUUUAACUCGGUAUGCAAUUUACUGUAUUUCACUCAACUGGGUUUAAUCUAGUUUAAUACGAUUUGUCAAAGGACUUGUCGAGUUGGAUCAUAUAAUUGUUUACCAAUAGAACUUAAUCUCAAAGGAUCAUAGAAACUAUUAAAAAAACUGUUGUAUAAAGAAGGGUUUUAGGUUUAGCUAAAUAAAUAAAGAACGCUAUGCCACAAUGUCAUUGGUGUACGAUUUUGGAUUGUCAACCGUCACUUCAGUUGCAAUCAAUGUGUAUGACUAGACACAGUAAAUGUACAACAUGACCGCUUGAUCCUUUUAUUUGUAUCCAUCGAUUAUCAAGCAUUAGAUGCUCAGUUUGAUAUUUCGUUCUCUGUACCAUUUUUCUCAAUUGUAAGCCGGUGUAUAAAAACCACAAGUUUGUAACGUCCUUUUGCUUAAUAGAUCUUUCAAUUUGGUUUAACAGGGUGCAGCAGGUGUCGUUUGAUGAUGCUGACCGAAAUCGUUUUCUGGUCACCUAUGUUGAUUAUUCUUUUGAUGAUUUUGGAGGCAAUCAACCACCGGUUUAUCCGGGAUUAUCAACUGUGUGGGGAAGUUUAGCUAGAAGCAAGGUAUAAAGUGCACACGUUUUGAUAAAACUACUAGCUUAUCUUUGUUCUAAUGUGAUGUACAUUCCUUAGACCUAUCACUCAUCCCAACGAUAAUAAAGCAUAUCUCCAUCUCUCCUAGUCUUGCAGCUAUAUGCUGUGAAUUUUCUUAUUUUAUUCUUAAUUGGUUGAUAAACACUAUGACUUGUACAGGCUAAAGGUUACCGGGUUGGACCUGUAUAUGACGAUGUUUUAUCAAUGGCGUGGUUUUUCCUCGAGUUAAUUGUUAAAUCAAUGGCAUUGGAGCAGGCACGUCUUUUUGAUCACAAUCUACCUUCAGGUACUUCUGUGGUAUCCAGUUUCAUUUUUUUUCCAUAGAGUUUUCUUCGUUAAGCUUUCAUGCAAUGCUGUUCUAGGAAUUGGCCUCUCCAAAUAAUAAUUAAAAAACUGCAUACCUAAAUUCAUAAAGAACGUGAUGACCUGUAAUAUGGGUGAUUGUCUAGAACUCAAUGACUAAGGACUCUAGUAACUUAUUUGUACUAAAGUCACGCAUAUUAUGAUAAAAAAAAAAAUUAAACUUACCCUUGGAUACAGAUUGCUAGCUUUCUUAAUCUUAAUGCCUUUUUUUCAUGAUUUUAGGCGAGGAUGUUCCACCCAUGCAGCUCAAAGAAAGUGUCUUUCGAUGUAUCAUGCAAUUGUUUGAUUGUCUUUUAACUGAAGUUCAUGAACGUUGUAAAAAGGGUCUAAGCUUGGCAAAACGUCUGAACAGCAGUUUGGCCUUCUUCUGCUAUGAUCUCUUAUAUAUCAUUGAGCCCUGCCAGGUCUAUGAAUUGGUAUGUUUUGUUCAGACUAUCGUACGUGGUAGCAACGGUUGCGUUAGUACUAAACUGCAUUUGAGUUUCUAUGGAAGUCUCUUGAUGAUAUUAUCUUUGGUUGACUUCAAGCAUGAGAAUGGUUUCAUGAAUUAUUCUGUCAUAGAAGUUUCGUUUUGAUCUGAUUAAUGAUUAUUUACUGGUUAGGUUUGCUAGCAGCGUAUUAAUUGAUCAUGUGCAUAAGUAUGGUUUUCAGUUCUAAAUAUUGUAUGUUAAAAUUGUUCUUGAGAAAACCUUGAAUUCAAUACAGUCAUAGAGCUUAUCUAGUUAUCAGUUGUCAGUAGUUUAGGACGUGGGAAUAAUCUAGGUCUUCAAUUACGUUUGAUAGUGAUAAAUUUAAAUGUCCUUCUCUCACUCAACAGGUAUCGUUGUACAUGGACAAGUUUUCUGGUGUUUGUCAAUCUAUCCUACACGAGUGCAAGCUCACAUUUUUGCAAAUUAUCUCCGAUCAUGAUCUCUUUGUAGAAAUGCCUGGCAGAGACCCAUCGGACAGGUACUCUCCCAUGGAAACUUCAUCACAUGUUUAUUCAAUUUGGCAUUUUCAAACAUUUGCACUUUAUUGCUUGAAAUCAUUUUCUAAGUAUUAGCACACUUGAGCACAUAAAAGUUAGAAUUAGAAUGUUAUGAAGCCACUUCUGCAGUAAGCACUUGAACUCUUAAAAUGAUGCAGAAAAGAGAAGCCUAAACUGAACCUACAGUCUUUUAUUUUAUGCGGCUUUGCAUCUUUACAUACUUUGGAAGGAGGGAGAAAGGAAAUUUCCUGAGCUGACUCUAUUUGUAUGUUCUAGGAACUAUUUAUCAUCCAUCUUAAUACAGGAGCUAUUUCUCUCCCUGGACCAUGAUGAGCUGCCUCUGCGGACAAAGGUAUGUUUGGUUGCAAGUGUUUGUUCGUAUGAGAUACUUAUGAUGUAAGAAGUUUACAUUGUAAUGCGGAUUCCUUUUUGGUAUCCUUGCAGGGUGCAAGAAUUUUAGUGAUCCUCUUAUGCAAGCAUGAAUUUGAUGCUCGGUACCAGAAAGCCGAAGAUAAGCUGUAUAUUGCACAACUAUAUUUUCCUUUUGUGGGGCAGGUAUGUCAUGAUGGCUUGAAAAAUAAUCACGCACAAAAUCUUUCAUUUACGUAGUAAAAAAAAUGCUUCUUUAGUCCACUUCUGCUUUAAAAGGUUUCGUGAUCAGUGGUUGUUUUCCAAGGCUAAAAAGUAGCCCAGAACCAUUCACUCAGUUGCCCUCCCCCUCAGUUAUCGUCAUAAGCAUUCGUUAUUACUGGAAUAUAGAAUAUAUGUUUAAAAGAAUUAAAUGGUGUGGCAAUCACAAGCUUUAUACUGGUUGCUGUGUCAAACGAUCAUAGCUAAAGCCAGCUGAUAUAUUCGGCUGACAAUUUAUGUUUUAUUUUCUUCCUUGUGCAGAUUUUAGACGAAAUGCCUGUUUUCUAUAACCUAAAUGCUACUGAAAAGCGUGAGGUUUUAAUCGGUGUGUUGCAAAUCGUUCGAAAUCUGGAUGACACAUCACUUGUCAAGGCAUGGCAGCAGAGCAUUGCUCGUACAAGAUUGUAUUUCAAACUCAUGGAAGAAUGUCUUAUACUAUUUGAGGUUCCGUUCCACAACCCUUUCUUAAAACUUGGGAAAAUACAUUUACAUCAAGGAAGCGCUAUAAAAUUGUUAAACUGGUGGUCUAUGGUGUGUAAUAAAGUUAUCUAUCAUGCUCUGAAGUUUUGUUGGAGAAAAUUUGACUUUAUCUAUUUGUGUGAUGUGGUAGAAUGAUAUGGGCGGCAGCUUACGGUCUAUUAGCACUUAAUUGUAUUACACACAAAUUUAUAUAGUUGUAAUCUACAUAAUGUUUGACUCCUAUGGCGAUUGAUAAUCUUGAAUUAAUAAAACUUUCAGCACAAGAAAGCUGCUGAUAGCAUCCUCGGGGGCAACAACUCUCGUGGGCCUGUUAGUGAAGGAACUGGAUCACCAAAGUACUCCGAGCGACUUUCUCCUGCUAUCAACAAUUAUUUGUCAGAGGCAUCCCGUCAAGAAGUCAGGGUGAGUUGCUGAUUUUAUUUUGUGUGUUCGUUCCUCUCAUCUACUUUGUAGUAAAGACACAUACCAGUUCACCUAGAAUUCCUUAAAGUUCUUCUGGUAGACUUCUCAAAACUAAGUUAGAAACUCUUCUGCUUUUUUGCUUUUCUUAAGUUAAACCAAGGGAAGACUUAAGUAUUGUCUGACGUUUUACUGCAGCUAGAGGGAACACCUGAUAAUGGGUACCUGUGGCAGAGAGUAAAUUCUCAGUUAGCCUCCCCUAGCCAACCUUAUUCCCUAAGAGAAGCUUUAGCUCAAGCACAAUCUUCGCGGAUUGGAGCUUCAGCCCAGGCAUUAAGAGAAUCGCUGCACCCUAUUUUAAGGCAAAAACUGGUAUAAUUCUCUGUUGUCUUUCAUGCCUUCUCCUUUAUAUUUAUCAUCAUUUUUGUUGGCAUAAUCUUCAGUGAGCUGUUCUACUAAUUGUAUUCACAUUGACCAGGAACUCUGGGAAGAGAAUGUAAGUGCUACUGUUAGCCUCCAGGUUUUGGAGAUCACUGAGAAAUUUUCAUCAAUGGCAGCCUCUCACAACAUUGCUACGGACUAUGGCAAAUUGGACUGCAUUACUACAAUAUUGACAAGUUUCUUCUCCCGAAACCAGUCACUAGCCUUCUGGAAAGCCUUCUUUCCUAUUUUCAACAGAAUCUUUGAUCUUCACGGGGCUACACUGAUGGCAAGGGAAAAUGAUCGCUUCUUAAAACAGAUAGCCUUCCAUCUUCUCCGGCUUGCCGUUUACCGAAAUGACAGUGUCAGGAAAAGAGCCGUUAUUGGUCUUCAAAUACUAGUCAAGGUGAGACAUCGAGCUUCAUGUAAAGACUUCUCAGUUUCUUGCCAUCAGGCUUGAGUUCAAUUGCUUUGUUCUUGCAGAGCUCGCUAUAUUUUAUGCAGACUGCUAGGCUGAGGGCUUUGCUGACCAUUACACUGUCAGAACUCAUGUCGGAUGUCCAAGUUACUCAUAUGAAAACGGAUAAUACAUUGGAAGAGAGUGGAGAGGCAAGGCGGCUUCAACUGUCAUUAAGCGAAAUGGCUGAUGAAGCUAAGAGUGUCACUCUGUUGAGGGAAUGUGGUCUUCCUGAUGAUACUCUGUUGGUAAUUCCCGGGAAGUUUACAGAAAACCGCUGGUCUUGGGCUCAAGUGAAACAACUUUCUGACAGCCUUGUUCUUGCUCUUGAUGCGAGCCUUGGGCACGCUCUUUUGGUACGGUUUUUAAACAACUUGGCAUUUUUUUAAAGAUAUCUUCUCUCGUUUUAGUGAUAGAAGAAAUGUUUUCUGCUAGUUUUGUUACCUGUAUUAGAGGACUUGAUUGCUAAACUGGUUCUUGCCUUUGUUAUAUGGCGGAAGCGUCAUGUCUUCUACACUCAAAAUCCUCCCCAUCAGCACCUAUUUUUAGUAUUUUUAUCUUGUUCAUGAAACUGAUAGGUCAUAAGGUAACACAGGAUUCAGUUUCCUGUGUAGGUAACACAGGAUUCAGUUUCCUGUGUGUGUAAAAUCGAACUUAUAGUGUGUUCGAGUAGAUCUGCAUCUUGUGUCAUGAUCAUGUGGAUAAUUUUAUGCUUAUAGAGAGUGGACUCCUUUCCCUUUUAAAAUUUUUAAUCUGGUUUAGAGUUUAGCAAUUUUAGGAAGCUCCCUAAUGGGUGAGUUAAGAUAUUUCUUUGAAUGAAUGUGAACGCAAAAUUCUGUGGUUACAGGGAUCGGUGAUGGCUAUGGAUCGAUAUGCUGCAGCAGAGAGCUUUUACAAACUUGGAAUGGCAUUUGCUCCUGUUCCAGAUCUUCACAUAAUGUGGUUGUUGCACCUAUGUGAUGCUCACCAGGAAAUGCAGUCCUGGGCUGAAGCUGCACAGUGUGCUGUGGCGGUUGCAGGUGUGAUUAUGCAGGUAAUAGCUUCUAAAUUUAUUGUGUGUAUGUGAUAUCUCUUUGGCAUUCAAAUCUUCAUGUCUACUAAAUACUACUACUUGAACUUAUAUACAUGUGUAGGCCUUGGUGGCUAGAAAUGAUGGUGUCUGGAGCAAGGAUCAUGUCUCUGCCUUGCGUAAAAUUUGCCCCAUGGUAAGUGGCGAGUUCACGACAGAGGCAUCUGCAGCUGAAGUAGAGGGUUACGGUGCUUCAAAGCUAACAGUUGACUCUGCCGUCAAGUAUCUACAGCUUGCAAAUAAGCUUUUCUCUCAAGCUGAGCUCUACCAUUUCUGUGCAAGCAUUUUGGAGCUUGUUAUACCAGUUUACAAGAGCAGGAAGGCUUAUGGGCAGUUGGCUAAGUGUCACACGCUGCUUACUAACAUAUACGAGUCCAUUCUUGACCAAGAAUCAAACCCCAUCCCAUUUAUCGACGCCACGUAUUACCGGGUGGGAUUCUACGGAGAAAAGUUUGGGAAGCUGGACAGGAAAGAGUAUGUAUACCGUGAACCGCGAGAUGUGCGGCUUGGAGAUAUAAUGGAGAAGCUGAGCCAUAUAUACGAAUCAAGGAUGGACAGCAACCAUAUUCUGCACAUCAUUCCAGAUUCGAGACAAGUGAAGGCAGAAGAGUUGCAGGCCGGAGCGUGCUACCUGCAAAUCACUGCGGUUGAUGCAGUCAUGGAAGAUGAGGAUCUUGGGAGCAGAAGAGAGAGGAUAUUUUCUCUUUCGACUGGUAGUGUUCGAGCACGAGUCUUUGACCGGUUCUUGUUUGAUACACCGUUUACAAAGAACGGUAAGACGCAAGGUGGGUUAGAAGAUCAGUGGAAGAGAAGAACAGUGCUGCAGACGGAAGGAUCGUUCCCUGCUCUCGUGAAUAGAGUGUUGGUUACCAAAUCCGAAUCCCUUGAAUUCUCGCCGGUGGAGAAUGCAAUUGGAAUGAUUGAAACCAGAACAACCGCUUUUAGAAACGAGCUAGAGGAGCCUCGUAGCUCGGACGGGGAUCACUUACCACGGCUUCAGAGUCUGCAGAGGAUUCUUCAAGGAAGUGUUGCAGUGCAGGUGAGUACAUAUUGUUAUCUUUGUUAUUGUGUGGAAAUGAAAUGCUCAUUAACCUUCUAUGGAAACAAUGCAGGUCAACAGUGGAGUCUUGAGUGUUUGCACAGCCUUCUUAUCAGGUGAGCCUGCAACGAGAUUGCGUUCGCAAGAGCUGCAGCAACUCAUCGCGGCACUUCUUGAAUUCAUGGCGGUUUGCAAGCGAGCCAUAAGGGUUCACUUCAGAUUAAUCGGAGAAGAAGACCAAGAGUUCCAUACUCAGCUCGUCAAUGGAUUUCAGUCUCUUACCGCAGAGCUCUCCCAUUACAUUCCUGCGGUUAGAAGAUCAGUGGAAGAGAAGAACAGUGCUGCAGACGGAAGGAUCGUUCCCUGCUCUCGUGAAUAGAGUGUUGGUUACCAAAUCCGAAUCCCUUGAAUUCUCGCCGGUGGAGAAUGCAAUUGGAAUGAUUGAAACCAGAACUACCGCUCUGAGAAACGAGCUAGAGGAGCCUCGUAGCUCGGACGGGGAUCCCUUACCACGGCUUCAGAGUCUACAGAGGAUUCUCCAAGGAAGUGUUGCAGUGCAGGUGUGUACAUAUUGUUAUCUUUGUUAUUGUGUGGAAAUGAAAUGCUCAUUAUCCCUUCAAUGGAAACAAUGCAGGUCAACAGUGGGGUCUUGAGUGUUUGCACAGCCUUCUUAUCAGGUGAGCCUGCAACGAGAUUGCGUUCGCAAGAACUACAGCAACUUAUCGCAGCACUUCUUGAAUUCAUGGCGGUUUGCAAGCGAGCCAUAAGGGUUCACUUCAGAUUAAUCGGAGAAGAAGACCAAGAGUUCCAUACUCAGCUCGUCAAUGGAUUUCAGUCUCUCACGGCAGAGCUCUCCCAUUAUAUUCCUGCUAUCUUGUCCGAACUUUAGUGUAAUCUUUGUAAUUUUUGUCAGUGUUUAUUACGAGUUUGUGUGUUUUAUUUCCACUAUUUGGUUUUGUUUAACUGCCUUUGGAUAGCUUUGUUUGUCUAUCUUUAAAGAAAAAAACACAUACGCUUCGGAUUACAUCCAAUCAUCUGUUCUCGUGGCAUACUUUAAUUAAAUGAUUAGAAGAGGUAACUUGGAGGGAGAAUUCUUCCCGUUCGGACCCACAGAAGAGACAGGUCUGGUCUAAAAUUGUUGAAAAGAACCCUUCAAGCGCGCGUGGGCAAGCAUAAAUAAAGGAGAACCCUCCAAGCGCGCGUGGGCAAGCAUAAAUAAAAGAGAACCCAUGUGCUUAAUUGCGUUGUACCAAAAACUAUACUCACUUUUAUAUCCUAACCACUAAUUUAAUAAAUUUAAACCAUCGGUAUUUCCCAACCAUGGUGUUCGUGUGACUCAUGUUAGUCUCUGCUAUAUAAAUAUAUACUAAAUGUAAUAUAGUAUGGGCGGACAAGAAACAAAAUACAAUAACACAAGUAUGAUUCAUGCAAUGGAGGAUGGCCGCACAAUCAAACAAACAUAUGGCAUUUAUGUUCGAGCGGUAGAAACUUGAGUAUGUGUAGGGAGAAAGUUAACCGGAUCCAAUAUGGAACCCCACAUAUAUCAAAUGCAAAUAAAGGUAAUGACAGUUGGUGAAUAAAAUGUAUACGAGCAGUGUAAACAGCUAAGUAUAUUAAUGUACAUGGCUAAUAAAAUAGGAGAUAAAACUUGUGAAUUAAUGGGGACCAAAUAAUCAGACUCUAAUGUUGGGGAAAUUAUUUUUUCUGUUUUAUACCAACCCGAGGUCAAAAGACUAUACUAUAUGGCAUAUAAUAUGGUCAUAUAGUCAACCAAUCAAGGAGAUCUUUUCGUAAAGACUGUGAGCAAAAUACAAAAUAAGAGGCAUGAGUUACAUGGGAAUAUGACAUCAUCGACGGAGGGAACAUAUAUGUACGCAUGUACUUGUAUGAAAAAACGCUGACAUGCAACUAUACUAUAUUUAAUAUAGUAUGGCAUCAGAUUCAGAUGUCUUUGUACAAACAAGAUGACCGAUACUAUACUAUAUUAAUAAUGUAAUAGUCUCUGUAUUUGCAUUAUGUCGUACUGACAUAUAAAACAAUCAAGCCUUGGCAAUGGCUAAGGAUAAAUAAAUACGUUGCGCUUAGUUGAAAAUAAGAUAUAAUUCGAAAUAAUACAAGAAAUUCGGACGACAUAGAAGUCCAAAGUGCACGCUUAUGGAAAAAGUUAAGAAAAUGCGAUAAGUUCAAUGUCUCAGCUGAAGAAAGUUAAACAGAGGGGAAGCAUCAAGUGGAUUAUUACGGGAGUUGGUGUGGGUUAAAUGUGGAGAAUGCUUCAAUUGCAUAUGGCAUAACUGCAGUUUAAAAUGCCUCUUUCGUUAGGGUCGUACACUGGUGCAUGCACUGAGUGGCAUUGAGGUCAAUGAGAACAAGCAAUGCAACACACGAUAAACCUGCGAAAUGGAAUCAUUGUAUGUUAUACUUACAAACCAACUUGAUUACAAUUUCAACUAUUCUAUAUUGCAUAUAAUAUAGUCACAUAUAUCACGACAUGUUCAAUUCAAUAUAUAUUUUUAUACUAUGCACAUAUAUCAUAUAGCAUAGUAAACUAUGCUAAGAGACACACCUAGCUUGUAGACUAUAAUCGAACCAUUUUUUUGACACCAUGGUGACUAUACUAUAUACUUUGCUCAUCUAGUAUGUAUCUCUUUACAUCAGUAUACAUGGUAGAACAAUUUUCAUACAUUAUAAAAAAAAUAUCAGGACUAUUAUAACAACGAACCCAUUUCCGGAUGUACAUUAGACACAAAGAAAGUAAAUGCAACAACAUAACUAGGCCAAUUGGCAAUCGGUCAAAUGUUCAUUAGCUGACCAUGUCAAAGAAUACUAAUAGUAUAGUCACUGGGCCACAUCUGCUGAAUUUUAGGCUAUACAAUUUAUUCGUAAUAUUGACAAUACAUAAUACAAACAUGUACCAUGGUAUACUUCAAAUAUAUAUAAAGCAAAAGGACAGCUUGUAUGCCACAAAUAACUACACAAAACUUGGUCAAAGACAAGUUACCAAAUAUGCAGAACAAACAACGUCUAUACUACUUAUGUUUAGCAAAUAGUUUAGUAAUUUAGAAAAUUAAUUUGUUCUUGUAUGAUCGAACGGUGAAACAGUUUUAAAGUACCUUUCUUUAUACUCCGAAGCCAUUCACCCCUCAACCACAGAUCUGCAAUAUAUUGGCUAGGGUGGUAUCGAUUUCAAAAACCCGAUCAGGUUUUCUCGGAUAAUGAAACUGGGUGCUAUAAUGCUAUGAAAUCAAAAUUACCUGCCGUGAUGUCUUCCUUUUCUUCUCUGAAUUGGAGCCACCAACGACAUUUACCACCACCUUUUGUACCCAAAAUUUGAAGUAGUGUUGCCUCACGCUUUAACCCACAACGAUAUGACAAAUAGUCCGCCUUGUUUCACAAGUGAAACAAAAGUGAACUUUCUCCAAAUCCGUCUUUGUUGUCGCUUUGUUGAGUGUAGAACGGGAGAAGAAAUUGUUCAGUUGCCAGGGGUAAGUGAAAUUGGAAGAAGUGGUGGGGCCAACGUUUUUUCACGCGCAUGUUGGGUAUUUUUGCCAUUAUACAUAAAUAUACCGACUAUAUCGUAGCCUAAAGUAUGCAAUGGUUAGAAUCUUUGUUUUGUGUGUUCCUAUUGUUAUGAGUUCAAAUUUCCCUAACUUAAAUGGUUACACAUGUCUGAACAAAAUACAACACAUCAUAUGCCAUUCGAAAACCACUUCUGAACUGACAACAUAAUGGUAAGAAUAAUAAGUUAUACCACCAAUGGUUAGAAACCUACUCAAGACUAAUCAUAUUAAUACAUAAAUAAUAACAUUAUUAAGCUAUAAAAAUAUCACGUCUAAACAUCCUUUAGCCCAAUUUUUUUCACAUGCUGAGGAGUCUCUUGAAAAAGAAGAUGAGAGGCAUUAUCAUUUUUUCAAAUCUCAGUCAAUACAACAAAAAAGAGCAUUUAGCAAAGGUUUUUUGGGUUGCCGAAGUACACCAUUUAGCGCAAUUCCCCAAAAAUUCAUCAAUCUAAUCUUCAAGGAUGAACAACUGGCAUGUUUUUGUAACUUUUUUCAAAUUGAUGGUAUGUUCACAAAACAAAUUGAUUGUCUGAGGGUAUUUUUGCAAAUUUCGAUAGCUGUCUUUCUUACGCAAGUCCGGAUCAUGUUGUAGUCGAAUCCCAAAAGAAAAGAUCACAUCAUCUCCAAUCUCCAUGGAAACAGCGUCGAGAGUCGAAGCAGUUACCAAAGGCGGCUUGCCUGUAGUCCCUUCCCAGUACAUCCAGCCACCGGAAGCUCGCCCCAACCUCCUCCACGCCGGCGACGCUGCUCCAAUCCCAACCAUCGACCUCUCUAACUCCGAUUCCGUGACGGAAUCAAUCGGCGAAGCUUGCCGCAACUGGGGAGCCUUCCACGUGGUCAACCAUGGCGUCCCCAUCCAUCUCCUCGAUCGCAUGAAGUCUCUAGGCCUCUCCUUCUUCCAAGACUGUCCAUUGGAAGAGAAGCUCCAAUACGCCUGCGACUCAACCUCCGCCGCCUCCGAAGGUUACGGCAGCCGCAUGCUCCUCGGAGCCGAAGGCGACGUCGUUUUGGAUUGGAGAGACUACUUUGAUCACCACACGUUCCCUCUCUCUCGCCGCGACCCUUCUCAUUGGCCGUUACAUCCUCCUGACUACAGGUUCCUCCUUUUAUUCCUUCACUUAUGAAAAAAAAACACAUCACUUGGGUGACAUACCGCACCACCCGCACUGCCGUUAAUAGUAACAAUAUAUCUAUAUAUUUUUGUUACUAUAUGAACUGCAUAUUGUUCGGUAUAAUUGUUCCUUACGUUACCACUUGGACUCCUAAUGUUUUUUUUUAUUGAUUUGGGGGCUAGACAAGUAGUGGAAGAGUAUGGUAAUGAGAUGAAGAAACUAGCUCAGAAGCUGUUGGGGAUCAUCUCAGAGAGCUUGAGUCUUCCAUGCUCAUCUAUAGAGGAAGCUGUUGGAGAAAUCUAUCAGAACAUUACCAUGAGUUAUUACCCUCCUUGUCCUCAGCCUGAGCUUACUCUUGGUCUCCAGUCACAUUCAGACAUGGGUGUCAUCACUCUCUUGAUUCAAGAUGAUGUUGGUGGUCUUCAGCUUUACAAGGAUGAUCACUGGCUCACUGUUCCUCCCAUCUCUCACGCCAUUCUUGUUCUUAUAGCUGACCAAACCGAGGUUGUUUCUAUGUAAUAUUCUCUCAUAUAAGCUAGUAAGAAGCUCUGAUCGUGCUCGGUCCUUUCUUACAGAUCAUAACCAAUGGCAUAUACAAAAGUGCUCAACAUAGAGCAGUGACUAAUGCGAACAGGGCGAGGUUAUCUGUUGCAACGUUUCAUGAUCCUUCUAAGACGGCAAGGAUAGCACCAGCUUCUCACCUUAUUGGGCAACACACCAAACCGGCUUACAAGGAAGUUGUGUACGGCCAGUAUGUUUCUUCUUGGUACUCAAAGGGUCCUGAGGGUAAACGAAACCUUGAUGCUCUCCUUUGCUAAAUCUUAUAUCUUCAAACUUUGUUUAAUGGCUAUCUUUUUAUUCUGUCUCAACUUGCGUUACCCGCAGUUUUUCAAGUUUAUGUGCAUCUGUAGACAACCUAAAUUUCCAAUACACAAAGUUGUUUUAACGAUAAUAUGUCGUACACAAAGCUGGAAGCUGUAAGUUGAACAGAGUACUUGUGUCAAAGAAAAUGGUAGAAAGAUAUGAGUUCUGUUGCUUGCUUGAAAAAGUAACAACGUCAAAAACAAUACUUAGAUGAGCGACGGUUUGUUUUUUCUUUUGUCUGAAACAUUGCAUCGGAGCCAGAAGCUACGAUGAAGUGUUUUGCAAGAGUAAAUUUUGCAACAGCAAUUUUCUUGUACUCCACCUCUCUGCUUUAGCGCCUCUAUCUCUGCCAACUCAAUCAAAUUUGUGUUUCUUUCUACAAUGGAUAUAAUGACAUAUUAUUAGAUCACGUUUACGCCUGCUAUCAAUCUAGACAAUAUAUUGGUUUCCAAAUGUUUCUUCUCUCACACCAUGCAAAAGAUAAAAAUGCAGAGUAUUUAUAUUCAAUGUAAAGAGAAAAUUUUGUUACCUAAGGCAUAAAAAUAGUCACUUUGAAUUUCUUGUCACUUUGAUCCUUUAGAUUAACUUUUUAUUUUCACCACAAUCACAAAUCAAACCUUAAACCGAAGUUUUUCUGAACUUGAAUCAUAGAAGCUUGAACAUUAAUAUUUUCCACUUUGAUUUAAGUUUCAUAUUUUCUCAACAUACUACGCGUGCUUAGGAUUUAACCUCUAACAAAGAUGACACUUCAUUUUUAGUUGGUCAGCUUUAGAGGCUCUAAAACUUCUAAAACUGUAACAAACUUGUUAACAUGGAUAGUGAUGUAGCGCAUCGUAUAGCUUUUACGCAAAGAAUUAUGAUCUCUAUGUACAUAAUAGAUAUGAUGUUUUUUUUUGCUAAACUGUAAAUAUCAUUAACUAAAAUGAAACUUUUGUCUUUUACAAAAUAAAAGGCUUUUACAUAUAUUUUUCUUCGCAAAAAUUAAAUAAAGAACAAGAAAGAUAGUAGAUUUUUAGCUAUUGGGAAUGACCAGGUCAUCAGAUCCAAAGUGCCAUGAUGUUGGUGAAUUUGCGCCUCUUGUGCCUUGCAGUUAUUGUGUUCCUCACAUCUCUGUCUAUUAAUCUGAAAGUUUCAGCGUGAAGUAGAUAUGAUGUUUUAAGGCUUGUAAAAACAACUUUGAUUUUGAAUAUACAUCAAGCCUCUGAAACUAGCUUUCAUAGCACGAAGAAGAGUAUUCGUAACUUCUAACGAGCUUUCUAAACACAUGAAAAAAUAUUCCCAACCAUCAAGCCCCUGAAACUAGCUUUCAUUGCGUCCACAUGGUUUCUACCACUCUGCAUGCCUCCUGGUUUACUCUCCGACACACAAUGCCUCAUCAAUUAUUUCAACGACUACGUCAAGACAUAAACCCUCAGUUUAUCCUUCUCCAUCUCAGCAUAUCUUGCAUCCACAUGGUAACCCACCACUGCGUAUGCCUUAUAUAGUAACGACUAAUGCAUCCAACAUCAGUGACUUCGUCGCCAAGUUAGUCACGGAAGACUAUUGACAUAUAACAUCUUGAGGUUGAAUUUUAGCAUAUCUUGCAUCUUCAUAAACCAGAAGUUGAAUUUUAAUUUUCGAAAUGUUAUCGGACAAAUAGUCAAAGUGACCCAUCUUGAGGUUGAUUCAGUCAAUGGGAAAGACACCAACAAGAUUUCCAUUGAACUUCACAACCUGAGUAUCUAUCGAAGACUAAACACGACUUAUAUUCAACCACAACAUCAAAUACUAUUUUUAAACGACUAACAUCUUCUAUUUGAAUUAGGGACGAACGUCUCCCACCUGUAUUAUGGGGUCAAUUUGCAACAGAUGUUGCUGAUGAUAUUCGGGUUUGUAGUCAACAUUCACAGAUUUGUGUUUUGAGGUUUAGAAAGAUUAAAGUUUGAAAAGUUAAAUAUUUACGGAUGUAGACAGUUUCUCAUUGAUGGUGGAUCUUAUAUUAGUAGUGUUUCUAAUUGUAUAUUUGAAUAUAUUUUUUUUGGCUGAAGAUCGGAGCAUCUCCAAUGCCUAUAAUGUGUCAGAUAUCACACCUAAAUUCGAAUAUGGCAGAGGUGGAAGUUUUUGUGUCUAUUUAAAUUUUAUAAUGAACUUUUAGUCAAUAAUUCACUUCAGGCAUGUUUGUUGGAAUGUUUUCCUUAAACUAAUCGACCAUGAGUAUUUUUAGUUUUCUUUUUAUUCUAUAUAUGUAGGUUACCACACGAUGAGAUAUCAUUAGCAAUUAUGGACUCAAAGCCUCUAUUUUGGUGAUUGGAGUUUAAAAAAAGGAUGAUUUUUUUUUUGUUCACACACCUAGAAAAUCUGUGCCUCAAAUGUUUGAAUCAAGACAGGUUUAAUAAGUUUUACACUUAUUUGUUCUUACUCUGAUUUACUUUUAUCUUUCCUUAAACAAUUUUUCAUGUUUAUAUAGGUGGAGAAGUAAACAAUAAAUUAUGCCUCGGUGAGAAAGGAUUCUCCCAGGCACAUACUCCAAGACGGGCAUAGCAACUUGUCUAACGUUCAAAAGUCUUGAUAGUGACUACUCAAGAAGUUACCGAAUUUGGAAGAAUCCACCGGUCCGUUCAUUGCCUCCUUGUGAAAACUCUAUUAUCUUACCGGAAGUGGCAUCCUCCAAGGAUUUUUUUUCUCAAUUCCUCAACCUUCAAGAUCUCACAACUUCGUAGAUCUAACUCCAUUUCUACGAAUAUUCCGCUAUUAAAUCACUUCCAAACUAGCAGUAAGAGUCUUUCUACUACCAAGAAUUCCUGAAACCAGAAACAAGAGUUAGUGAAAGGUGUAGAGAUACGAUGGCAAGUAGAUUUACCAAGGAAGAAAAAGGAAAACAUCACCUCUCCGGAGACAUGGAACCCACCAUCAAGAGAAUCAAAGCUCAUUACGUAGACAACUCAAUCCUCAUCAAGGAAAACAUGCUCACACUCAUAGGCAGAGUCACCAACCCACAAGAACAAAAAAUCUGGGUUCUCCUCCCAGCGCUGCCUCGCAAAUGGCACCUACAAGGGAAGGUUACCGGUUCAGAUCUCUGGAAUGGUUGCUUUCAGUUCAGAUUUGAAAGAGAGGAAGAACUACAGAGAGUCUUAGAUAACAGACCCUAUCAUUUUGCUUACUGGAUGAUCAUCCUUCAACGAUGGGAACCUGUCAUAUCUGCUACCGCUCCAUUACUGGCAUGAAGACAUGAUAUGUGACAUUGGAAAGGAGUUGGAAACGCUGCUGAAUCACGAACUCACCAAGACAUCUGCAAGAAUCAAAGUCUUAAUUGACGGUCUCAAACCCCUAGAGAAUAAAUCCAUUAUAUAAUUUGAUUCUGGAGAAGAGAGUUUCAUUUACCUGGAGUAUGAAAGAUUGGAGAAUCAUUGCUCCUUCUGCCAGUCUCUCUCCCACCUAAAAGAAGACUGCCAUAAUCUUAUGUAAAGAAACAAAACCCUAAAACUGCAGGAGGAAGAAGAUCUCCACAACUUGGGUAGAGAUCUAAAUCACAAGAGCAUAAAACAAGACACUCAUACCAAAGACUGAUAAACCGUUCUUCAAGCCAAGGAAGAGAGUUCCACAAGAAUGAUAUGAGCGCAAAGACAUUCAACGAAAGAGUCGACAGACAUGGCAACAGUUUCGGAGAUAGAGUAGCAACUAAACAAACUAGAGUGCCCCCGCCGGCCAGAGCUCUGACUUCUAAGGCAGAUACUACACAGAACUAGAGAAGCAGAUCUAACAAUCUUGUGGUGGAGGUCCAAGGUUAUAACUCCCCCCUGUACACAGUACAAAGAGAGGAGUUGGAAGGACGACAACAUAAGCGAGCUCCAUUUCCUCAGAGAGGCCUUAAGGAAUGGAGAGUUAAACCACUAGCUCUGACAUCUUCACCUAAAGUGAAUGACGAGAUACACAUGAUGACUCCUCAUCCACGAAGAGACCAGAACCUGCAAAGCAAACCUCUUACUCCAAUGUCAAAUAUCAAUCAGACAGAAGAAGAAAUUCAAAGAGAUCUAGAUGAGGCCACAUUACUCUACCUUAGCUGUCCAGAUCCAACAGAAGCGGCGGCUAGAAGACAACGUGUAAUGAGUAGUGAUGCCAAGGGCCAGAGAGCAGAAACAAUGGUUGUUAUGAUGAGAUCAACUUCGAAUCACCUAAAACAGAUACCUGCGGGAGCUCAGGAGAUUAGAACAGGUUAUAAGCAGACAAAGGAGCGUAUAAUGGAAGAUCUCCAAGAUGUCACAAAGCAGUACCUUAGCUGCACAGAUUCUACGGAAGCUGCAGCUAGAAAACAGAGAGUUUUAGCGGAUGGCACCUCGGGCUUAAUGGAAGAGACAGCAGACUCUAUUUUGGCUGCCUCAGCAAACAUCAGACGCCCGCUAUCUCCAUGGGAACGAGGAAUAAGGUCAGAAAGCCCUCAAGCGAAGGAUAAUCCUCUGAACGCUCUCUUCUGCACUGCCAGUCUCUCAUGCUUAGCCCACAAGGAGGAGAAGAUAAGGACGAUGACAAUGAGCUUGAUCCCUAUUACAGUGAAGUCUCCCCACCACAAGUGGCAGCACCUAUACGCAAAAACAAUGAAAGAUCAGCAAGGAUGAAAUAAAUUAUUAUCAGCCCUAAUGUGGAAAGGGAGGAGCUACCUCCAAAAGCUCGAGAACACCAAGAACAACUGAUCUCAUCUGAGCAGGAGGAAAUUCUGCGAGAUUUUCAAAACAAAGUAAGAAAACCCCGAAACCCUGCAAAGAUAAUUAAGAAGCUCGAGAAACAGCCCUAAUCUCAGAGGAACUAGUUUCAAGAAAAGGAAGUUAACACAGGUGCAGAACUCACCUAGUGGAGGAAGAGGUGCAGGUGAAGGUACAUCCAGAGCAAAUCAGAAAAGAAAGAUAACAAAUGACCCAAAAGGACACUCCCAAGGGACGGGAAACCCACCAAUCCAACUCAUACCAGCAAUGACCCGAAAGAAAGCGGAUUUUCGGGACACUCCACCCCGGGCUCCUUAGUCGUAUUAAGCUGGAACUGCUGCGGGUUGGGGAACCCUGCAACAGUCCAGCGGUUGAGGGAGAUACAUAAGAGGAACUUUCCUGAUAUUUACAUCCUCAUGGAAACCAAGAACAACCUGGAAACAGUCAAGAAGAAACUGCAAGGCCUUCCACUAGAUAACAACCAUGAAGUUCCCCCUAACAGUCCAGGGAGUGGAGGCCUGUUUCUCAUCUGGAAGAACGACAUCCAACUUACAGUUAGAACGAGCAAUAAGAACUUUAUUGACACGCUAAUAACAGAGAAAGGGAUUACCUUCCAAGUCACCUUUGUUUAUGGAGAGCCAGACCAUACAAAGAGACUCGCUGUCUGGAAUGAACUGUCCUCUUUACAACCUGCGACAGGAGACCCAUGGUUUUUAACUGGUGAUUUCAAUGAGAUUACAGACAAUAGUGAAAAGAAAGGUGGACCGGAACGAGCAGAAGGCACUUUCUGCGCAUUUAGAACCUUCUUAUCGGAGAAUGAUCUUUUUGACAUCAAGCACUAUGGGAACUUUCUCUCAUGGAGGGGAAACAGAAGCUCACACGUGGUACAAUGCCGUCUCGACAGCGCAUUAAGCAACAGCGAAUGGCUAAACAUCUUUUCCUCAUGCCGAAGCCAAUAUCUGAAAUAUGAAGCAUCUGACCAUCGCCCUCUCCUAACCUUCAUGGACACACGAAGAAAGAAAGGUCUUAAAAUCUUCAGGUUUGAUCGAAGAUUAAAAGAUAACGAUGAAGUAAAAUUGAUCAUCAAGAAUGUUUGGGAAGCAGAUACUCACCUGAGUGUUGAAGAAAGAUUAAGCAGUUGCAGAAAAGCCAUUUGUAGAUGGAGUAGAGAGUUCUAAAUAAAUAGCAGGAAGACCCUAGACGGUCUGCGUGAAGAUUUAGAUGAAGCUCUGUCUAAUCCAAGCCCAGACGAGGACCUGAUUCAUAAAAUAAAUAUCAGUCUGCUACUGGCAUACAAACAAGAAGAAGAGUAUUGGCAACAACGCAGCAGACAACUAUGGCUAACACUGGGUGAUUCAAACACAAGUUACUUCCAUGCCGCAACAAAGACAAGAAAAUCUAGAAACCGUAUGACGGUUAUAGAAAAUGAUGAUGGAGUACCUUGGUUUGAGGAGGAUCAAAUAGCUGAUGUGAUUUGCAAAUACUACGAGGAUCUCUUUACCUCCUCUCCAAAUGAAGGCCUGCAGAUUGUAGAAGAAGCACUCCAACCCUGCGUCGCCCAACAGAUAAAUGAAGAACUCAUAAAAGAGCCAACACCAGCUGAGAUAAAAGAAGCUACCUUUGCCAUUCAUCCGGACAAAGCUCCAGGACCGGAUGGGUUCUCAGCUAGCUUCUUCCAAGCCAACUGGGAGACGGUAGGACCGGCGGUGACUAAAGAAAUAAUGUUGUUCUUCUCAACUGGUAUGCUCCGCCCCUCGCAAAACGUUACACAUGUUAGACUGAUCCCGAAGAUAGUAGGAACAAAGAAGGUUGCAGAUUAUCGUCCUAUAGCUCUAUGCAACGUAUUUUUCAAGAUAAUUUCUAAGAUGUUGGCGUUAAGGCUAAAACUAGUGCUCCACACGAUCAUAUCAGAGAACCAAUCAGCAUUUAUACCAGGAAGAGCUAUAGCAGACAACAUUUUGAUCACACAUGAAGUACUUCAAUUUUUGAAAACGUCUCAGGCGAAAAAAAGAUGCACGAUGGCGGUAAAGACUGAUAUGUCUAAAGCCUAUGACAGAGUUGAGUGGAGAUUCAUAGAAAAAGUCCCACAACGUCUAGGCUUUCAUGCAAAAUGGGUGAAACUAAUAAUGCAAUGUGUUUCUACGGUAUCAUACUCAUACCUAAUCAAUGACUCAGUUCAUGGGGCGGUAACGCCUAAACGAGGAAUAAGACAGGGAGAUCCACUCUCCCCCUAUCUGUUCAUCCUCUGUAGCCAAGUUCUAUCAGGUCUAUGUCGUAAUGCGGAAAAAGAGGGUACCUUACAAGGAAUAAGGGUCGCGAGAAACUGUCCAAGGGUGAACCACUUGCUAUUUGCAGACGCCACCAUGUUCUUCUGCCAAACUUCAGUACCGAACUGUGAUAAAUUGAGGAGCAUCCUAUAGAAGUACGAGCAAGCUUCGAGACAAAAUAUUAAUACCACCAAAUCUUCCAUCACCUUCUCAUCAAAGACUCCUGAAGAGACAAAGAAGUUAGUGAAAGAAAAUUUAGGAAUCGACAAGGAGGGAGGGUCAGGGAAGUAUUUGGGCUUACCUGAACACUUUGACCAUCGAAAAAAGACCUCUUCACUACGAUUGUGGAUCGUAUCAGGCAAUGCGCAGCGAGUUGGUCCAAAAGACACCUCUCCAAGGCUGGAAAGAUGACAAUGCUGAAAGCAGUACUGACCGCAAUCCCUACUUAUACCAUGUCCUGCUUCGAGCUACCUGUGAGUUUAUGCAAAAGAAUCUUGUCAGUACUCACUAGGUUCUGGUGGGACACUUCAGAUGGUAAAAGAAAGAUGUGCUGGGUGGCUUGGAAUAGACUCACUAAACCUAAAGCAGGAGGAGGUUUAGGACUGAGGGAUAUACAACUUUUCAAUCAAGCCCUAUUGGCUAAACAAGUGUGGAGGGUACUAACAAAUCCAAAUUGUCUCUUUGCGAAAGUGCUCCUAGGUAAAUAUUGCAAUAACAAAUCAUUUAUGGAGGUGCAAUUGCCUACGGUUUGUUCGCAUGGAUGGAGAAGCAUACUUCAUGGAAGAGAACUACUAAAAGGAAAUGUAGGUAAAGCCAUUGGGAACGGUCUAACCACUAUAGUUUGGAAAGACUCAUGGAUCUCGCUAGAUAAAGAUACUAAGUUCUAUGGCCCUAUCCAAGAAGACGCUCUGGACCUCACAGUUUCGAACCUCCUAACUUCAGAUAUGCAAUGGAAUAAAAGCAUAAUUGAGCAACUAUUACCUCAGGUAGCGAAGGAAAUUCAGAUGUUGCAGCCAGGACACAGAGCAGCCAGAGACAUCUAUGUGUGGCAACCCCUCCAAUCUGGUGUAUAUAGCACCAAGUCAGGCUAUUACACUGCAGCUAUGAAAGAUCAAAUCCAAGUAAGACCGAGUGAUGAUUCAUUCGACUGGAUAAAAGAUAUUUGGGCAGAGAGAAGCCCACCAAAAAUGAAACUAUUCAUGUGGUCCAUUGCCCAAGAAGCUCUUCCGCUGGGAGAACUCCUACAAAGGAGAGGAAUCCAAUCAGGAGUGGCUUGUGUCCGAUGUAAUUAAGUGGAAUCAGCAACACAUACCUUUUUCAAUUGCCCAUUCGCACAAGAAGUCUGGAAGCUCAUCCCAAUGAAAAGAGUAGUUCACCUAGCUACUGAUAUCGACUUCACAAACGCAAUAGUAGCCUUCAGGCAAGCGGUUUGCCUACCCCUGACAGGCAUCACAACGACUAUUCUCCCGUGGGUGUGUUGGGCCCUUUGGUCAGCUCGAAACAUGCGCAUAUUUGAGAAUCACACUCUCACAGCUAUAGAAGUGGCGACAAAAGCCCUCAAAUUAGCAAGAGAAUGGAUAAAUGCCCAAAAUCAAAUCUUGAAAGGAAAGGUCCAGUACCUCAACCCAAGCAGGCGAAGCGACAACAGAUGAUCACCGGAACGACAACGACAUGCAGAUCUGACGCAGCCUAUGACAAGCGAUCCCGAAGGGCAGGACUGGCAUGGAUCUUCAAGGAACCAUCUGGUACCCAUCUCAAUCAAGGAGCCACCUCACAUGAUCUCGUUAGCUUUCCACUAAUGGCAGAAGCGCUCGCUCUUCGAAACGGAUUAAUUUCUGCAGUGAAUCUCGAGCUAGACAAGCUCCAGAUCUUCUCUGACAACUCAACCCUCAUCCGAGUAAUCAACAACGACACACAUGUGAAGGAAAUCUUUGGUAUUCUCAAAGAUAUCCAACAGAUUUCCCCUGUUUUUGUCGAGAUAACGUUCUCUCACACUCCUCGGUCUUCCAAUGUCGAACUCGAUCGUUUAGCUAAACAUGUACUUUCAUCUUCUCUUGUAAUGGAUCCAAUAAUGGGCUAACUUGGGCCCGAGGCCUCUUUGACUUUUAUUUAAUUAAAUGAAUACGUGUUACAAAAAAAAAAACAUUGGGAUUUUUCGUUUAGAUCAAAUUUGAUUACACACGAAAUCACUACUAUAUAAAAGGAGCUAUUUUUGGAGCUUCUAAGGGGUGCCACGUCGGAUGAAAUAUUCCUGGCCAAUCAUUUUGCCAUGUCAGCUUGAAUUCUACGUACUACUCAAUUCUUCGGCGACAAAAAGAGUUCUGAGUUUUUCGAGCUUUGUAUAAAUCCCAUUGAGUGGCCCAAUAAAGGUAUCAAAAUCGCAUCUCCAAACACGGGGAACGUCGUUUUGUUUUCCUCCUCUUCGACAGCUAAACACUUACCUUCUCCGCCGUUCGGGAUCACCGGUGAAACGGAAUAGAGAUUCAAGGCUAGGGAAAGAAGGAAAAAGGGAGUGUGCUCCCUACUCCGAUGAAACACGGUGUGACUAUCACUCCGAAGUCCUGGACAUCACCUGGCAGGUGUCCAAGCCGACACAGGAUCCAUCACCAAACGCCUUCGUUCAAGCACCCCAGAGGAGCCCCGCGACCUAAGCACGCCAGAUCCAAGGAGAAGACCCGACUCUUGAAACCCUAACGCUGCCGCUUUCGCAGAUCCGCCACCACACAGGUCUGAGAUGCUGCUACUCCUCCACUCUCCCAGCGGUGAAGAGAAGGAUCCAGGCCAACGAGAAAUGAGCUAAAGUGAACCGCCAUCUCUCUAGAAAGCUCCGCCGACACAAAACCAUUCUCACCAAUGGCAACAAACCCACCCCCCAUGACUGACAAGCGGCUACGGGCAGCCUCUCAGUUGUCCUCAAAACAGAAAACGCCACCAUCGAACCGACGAGCCACCAGAGAACGAGAAGCCGUAGAGGUCAAACCGCACAGAUGACCUACCCGUCUCGCCGAAAAAUAUUUCAAUCUCUCAAGGAAAUAAAAUUCCAAGCUGUGACUCAAAACUGUCACUUUAUGCCUGUCAUGCAUCUGGAUCAGGUCCUCAGAAAAAUGGCAAUCGAGGAUCUAGAGGACACAAUUCACAAAUCAAGCCUAAGAUCAGAAGAAUCAUGGUAUUUCAUAUAAAAUCAUUUAUCUACCAUGCUCUAUCUUUUUUAACAUAUAAUUGUUGUGUUUGGUGUACCCACCCAGCAAAUGGGUUAGGUUUUAUCAUGAUGAAGAGUAAGAAAAUGCGCUUUUGAAAGAAUUUUCAUGUUCUUAAACCCUCCGAAAUCCCGUAGAAAUAGUGGCACGAAUCUAGAACAUUUCUGAUUUUUUUAAUUGAAAUAUAAAGAAGGAAAACUUAUCACGCUAGAAGUUUAUGAUGUUCAAUGUGUGGUUUAAGAGAUAUGUUUAAACGUUCUCUUGAAGUAUAAUAUAUAAUCAUAUACCAAAUGGUUAUGUUUUAGAGCAUGAUAUAUUGAAUACAUUGCUAUUGAUAUAGGUUCCAUUUGGUAAAGUUGUGAGAUGUCCGAGCUGUUUGAUUGGCAUUGCUGUUCCACAACCCCAGAAUGGAGUUCAGGUAACGAUGUCCCCAUCCGAUCGACAGUUAGUGAUAAGCGUUUUCUACAAGUUUAACUGUUAAAUAUGUUUCGUAUGUUCCUAGAUUGUCUAUGUGAUGCAGCUUAUUUUGGUUCUAGAGAGUGGGUUGUGUUUCGUUAUUUGACCUAAAAAAGACUGAGAUGUGUGGUGUUUUGAUGCUGAAAUAUUCACUUAUUCUAAGGAGCACAAUCUUUUGAACGCAGCAAAUACGUUCCUUCGUAGGAAAAAGGGCUAAAGACUAAUCCAGAUAAAGAAGAACAAAGUCACCUCUUCCAUGCACUCUAUAGUGGUGAAAUUCCCAUCGUAAACACAGUUUAAUAUUAAAAGAAUGAAGUUAGAUACAAAAUUUUAACCGUUGCAAUGGAUUUCAGGUACAAGCACCUUCGGAUACAGCAGAAACGCACCAGUUUGGCGCUGAGACAGCUGAGCUCCCUAUGCAAGAAGAAGAAAGAGUGACAAUUGCGUUUGCUGUUCCAUAACAUGUUUGCAGACAAGUGAGGCACUGAACAAUACCAUGUUUUUUCUCUAACAUUUACAUAUGAAUAUUUAGUCUGAGGCUUAAGUAGAAACUCCAUUAUUCCACAGGAAAGCAUUGCUCAACAUAUAGAGCAGAUCUUGGAACUCGAAAACCUUGAAGAUGUAUACAAUUCUAAAAUUACUUUACAUCCAAAUCAAAUGUAUAUUUAGUGAAAUAUUCCAGUUCAUUUGGGACAAAAGAAAGCAUACUUGCUUUGUGUGUUAAUUUUACUUUGGUGUUUGUUGUAUGCGAUGCAGAAAUGUAAACUAUAGGCCGAAGCAAACGAUGAGUCAGAGAGACUUCUCAGCUCUCAACCUUAAACCUCUAUAUUAACAAAAAAAAAACCUGGUGAGGAAAUCAUUAUCAUCUUCAAUCAUCAUCAUCAUCAUCAAUCAUCACAACAUAGCUCAUCCUCAUGGUAAGCAAUCAUCUUUCAGCGACAUAUGUAUGGCCUUAAUGAUGUCUCUGCGGAACUGCAAACUAGAUUCUUCAGUGACAUGAACCUGUGGAAUGUUGAGUUUAUGAUGAUAUACAUGUAUGGUAUUAUAGAACCCUGGGUUUUAAAAAGCGUGCCUUAGGGUUGCUAAGGCUUAUUAGAAUCUAUAUCUCUCUUUCUGGGAGGAACACAGAGCUUGAUGUAAUCAUAACACGAGAACUCGAGAAGGUUUGCUGAUUUCUUAAAGCUUGUGUGUUUAACAUGCUUAAGUUGUUUGUUGAACUAAUUGUAUUUUAUUUUCGAUCUGAUUUCUACUAUGUUUGUUUGUUCAGUAUUUGCAAGUUGUUGGAUUGUACGAGGAUAAGGAGGAAACAUGUAGAAGGAAGGAGGUUCUGGGGAGGCUUAAUCAGUUUAUACUACUUUGUAACUAUAAGAAAUUGUGCUUAUAGAUAUUUCAUUUAUGGUUAUGAUAAGGAUUGAAUGAUCAGCUGCUUCAUGAGACAAUGCAGAGCAACAGAGAUAUUUACUUCCGGCUAGGGGUAACCAUAAAGAAAUAUAGAAGAUUAACUUUGUUUUACUCUCUUUUUUUUUGCGCUGAGAAGUGGGAACUCUUUGGUGUAAAGUGAUAAGGCAUGUCGUGAAUUGGUUGAAAGCUAUGUGUUUCUUUGUUAUGUCUCUCUAGACAUUCCUCAUAACAAAAUAAUAGACUAAUCUAUAGAUUGUUUAUAAAAUUUCUGAAUAUUAAUAUUUUGCAUUACUAUAAUAAAAAUAAAUUUACAUAAAUGUAAUUCUAUAACUUUAAAGAAAAUAAAAACUAUUUUCACAUUAGAGAUCACACAGUAUAAUAUAAAACUAGGUGUUUUGCCCGCACAUGCGAGCAUAAUUUUCUCAUCAAUACUUAUUAGUUUAUAUCUUAUUAAUCUAAAACCAGCAUGAUAAGUUAUUAUUUAUGUUUUCAGAUAGUUAAAUCAAACAUCAAAGUAUUUAUAUAUGUCAAAUAUUUUAUCAAAAUAUAUACUUAUUAUUGUGUUAAAUUUUUUAAAACACUCAUAUCUUAGAAAUAGUUUAGAAAAUAUCUUUAUAUAAAUGUUUUUUUAAUAAGAGUUUUUUUAAAUCAAACAUAAGUCUGCCGUAUCGGUGUUACAAAAAAAAAAUCAUUAAUAGUGUCGUAGGAAUUAUGUAUUUCCCAUUAGCGAAUAAAAUUGAAGCAGAGUGUUGGAGGAUAGCUCAACGUAUAGGCGAGAUUAUGGAGAUUGAUAUGGGAGUUGACGUAACGGACACAACUGUUCCUCUGCAAAGAAACGCUCCUACUAGAUGGAGAUGUCAAGUUGAUGCAUCCUGGAUAAAUGAAAGAAACAUAUCUGGACUUGGCUUUGUGUUAAUGGAUGGUGACUUCCCAAUACUGUUUGUAUCAACGGCCGAUAUACACGCACCAAAUCACCACUGCAAGCGGAAGCUGAAGGUUUGCUAUGGGCAAUGCAAGAGAUACUGAAGUUUGGACGCAGAGUGAUGGUCUUUCAAUCGACUAUGAACAACUGGUUAUACUCAUUCAAAAGGAGGAAGAUUGGCCUGCGUUGGACUCGGAGCUCGACGAAAUACAAGUUGUAUCCAAAGAAUUUUCUGAAAUUUCUAUUGCUUAUAUUCCUAGAUCUUUAAAAUUCCGUACGAAUAGCCUAGCAAAAGGUGUCCGAUCACGCGCAUCACGAUCAGCUUUUGUAAACCCUUUUGCACCAAGUUGGCUAGCCCCACAAGCUAGCAUGAGGGUGCCAAAAAAGAGAAUAAAGUCGAAAGUAAAACUGAAUAUCCCAAUGAACAAAAUUAUCAGAAAUCCAUAUUUAUGUGGAUGUCUAUAUGGGACAAACAAUUUUUUUAGGCAAUUAUAGAAUAUAGUCACGAAAAUCAAUCCUAAAAUAUAUAAUUUAAAAAAACCAUUUAAACAAACCAUCAAAAUUUUGAAUAUUACACCAAAAAAAAAUAUAAAGACCAACUAUAUUCUCUUCAUGUAUAAUGUGUAGUGGUAAGAUUCAAAAAAAUUAACUUACUUUACAGUAAGGGAAAAUUAGAUUUUUUAUUCCAGAUUUACAGUAAAAACAUAACAUUUUAUAAAACUAAACAAUUGACAUAAUAGUACAAAAAUAUGAAAAAAAAAUCAAAAUACUAAGAACCUAGUAUUAGUUAAAUUAAGUACAGUCAAGUCAACUAGUAUGUGAAUGAGAUUUAACUUACAAAUUCCAUUACCGAGACAAUAGCACAUUUAGAAGAAUAACCAUGGUAGAAUUUGUAAGUUGCACACAAAAAAAAACCAACGGGUACAAAUGUUAACCGCUCCACCGGUCGAACCAUAAUCCAGACCGGUUUUGCUAUUUAAACCGCUCAAAUCGCAAAGUACGUUUCGCUUACUUCCAGCAAACCACCAUUGAUCUCUCCUCCAAUUCACAAAUCCAAUUUCUCUAGGGUUUGAUUUCUUCGACUUGAAUUGCAUUUCCAUCCGAAUUUCCCCAAAUUCGUCAAGCUGGAUAGGCACCGAGGGGAUCGCCACGAGAGUGGCGCUUACGACGAUUCCUACCGUAACCACCGAGCUCACCCUAGAGGUCCCCCUCGACUCUCAGAUUCACCCUCCAUGUCACGUUUCGGCGAGGAUGACGAAGGUUUCAGCCGCCGUCGUCGCCGUGGAAACAGCCCUAGCAAUUAUCAAGUUGGAAUUGGGGACAGAGGAGGUGGCGAUCGACGCUGGGAAGAUGACGGCCCCACGGAUCGUAAUUUUCACAGAGAAGGCGUUGGAGGAGGUUUCCGGCCGAUGAACGCUCCUCCAGGGAGAGUAGAUUUUCAGCCUAUGGGUUAUGGCUUCGACGGAGGUUUUCCGCCGAUGAGUCGCGACGGAGGAUUUCGGCCUAACGUGCCAGUGAAUUUUCCGCCAUCGGAAAGUCCAGAUGCAGGGGGAUAUUCCGGCGGCAGGGGAUUUCAAUCAACGGGGCCUGAUUACUCUGUGAGAUUGACUUCACCGCCGAUCCAGCAGCCUCUUUCUGGUCAGAAAAGAGGUCGUCCUCUCUCGGAGCAGAGUAGCUUUACUGGAACUGGUAAGCUUGGGCUCACUCUACUGUAAUCGAGUUGUUUAGAGUUAACAGUGGUUCAUUUAUACUUGUAUGUGAUAAUCAGAGCUAUUUCCAAACUAAAUUACCUUUACUGGAUCAUUCGUUUUGCAGAUUUUACUGAUCGUAGCAGUAUGGUGAAGCUUUUUGUUGGCUCUGUACCAAGGACAGCUACAGAAGAAGAAGUGAGUUCAUCUUUUUGAUUAUUUUCCUAAUUUCUUCUCAAUAUAUAUGCACUUUGUUGAGGCAAUCUAAACCACGAAGCUCGUAGACUCUGUUCAUAAGCCGUUCUUGUUUAUCAUUUUGGUUUUCAUAGGUCCGUCCCUUUUUCGAACAACACGGAAAUGUUCUUGAGGUUGCUUUUAUCAAGGACAAGAGAACAGGACAGCAGCAAGGUAUGUUUAUCUCCAUUUUACUAGGAAUCAGUCGUGAUUUAUGCUUCUAAAUUUUUCAGGUCUCCUGAAAAGGCUGAUGGGAAGCAACCCCAGUCUCAUCAUUGGCCUCCAUUAGUUUUCAACAAUUUUCGGGCUUUUGCUUAUGCUAGCGAGCGUCUUAUCUGUGUUCGUUUGGCACAGAAGAAGGCUGCCUGUUUAGUUUACUAAGAAAGGGUUUUUGUAUUGACCUUGGUAAAAUAGUUUUUGCGACUUGUGUCCAUCCUAGAACCUUAGUUGUGUUUGAACAGUGUAGCAGACUUUAUCAUGUUUUAGAGUUGGAGUUAAUGUACAUAAAAUUGAACAGAUGUUUUACUGUUGCCUUUUAGUUGGCACUGGUUUAAAGAACGUUGUUUUCUCCUUUCCUAUUGAAUUCAGUAUCUCUUUACUCUUCCUUUCGAUGAAUGAAAAUGGUGUAUAUGGUCUUGACUGGAUGAAUGUAUUUUUACUUGGUAGUCUUACAACGUUCAUAAAAUGGUUUGAUUGAUAAACCACCCCUGCUAGUCAAUAUUUGGCAGUUUCUUAGUGAUUAUAUCAUGUUGGAUGUUUUGUUUCUUUAGUUUCUUUAAUAUCAACUUUGGAUGUACCGUCUCUAUUGGUUGAUGAUGAAAUUAUUUUUUACCAUUUUGGAUGCUUGAUGCCUUAAUGAAUGAUCUUUCCUUUUUUUCUUAUUGUGGAUGGCCGAGGAACUAUAAUGAAUGUUCUCUUCGCUUUUUUUGAAUGGCCUGGGAUGUGGACUUCUUGUAUGUUCUCACUUUCAUUGAUGAAUGACUGUUUCGUUGAGUAGCUCUAUUGUUCUGUAUGGUAACGCUAACACUGCUGAUCUACAUUAUGUGGAAGAGAUCAUAUGUCUAAUGAUAUUUUUUUUCUAUGUACCUUUCACCAACCAAGCUCAAAAGCUUGGUUUCAGUUUUUAGUGGUCUUAUUCUAUAUAGAGCUUGGUUUCAGUUUUUAGUGGUCUUAUUCUAUAUAUUGAGAUUGCUCUUGAAAAAUUCCAUCAAAGUUCUGUCUUUAUGAUGCAAGUGUGAAGAAUUACUAGAUGAUGAGUGAUGUAUUAUUUAAUAAUUCGGGACUUUCCAAGAAGUUAUUGUACGGUGACAUAAAAGCUUUUACUCAUCCCGUUAUCACGGUUUGACUGUAGUAGAUUUGACACAUUCCUUGGUUUGAAAUGUUAGAUGGUGCUAAGAUAUGGAAGGCAACGAUUAUUAUAAUUUCUUAGAAAUACGUCUUAGCUUUCACUCGCUCUCAUUGCUUCGAUCAGCAUCAGGCAUGAGCCGCCUUAGUAUGUAUUUAAUGAAGCAAGUGUCAUUCUUCUCUAUAUGCAACUAUUACCAAUGAAUUGACGUUGGGUUGUGGUUAUGUCUCUCAGAACUGUAAUUCUUUUUGUGAAUGUCGUCAAAUGUGUGGUGUAUGUUGUAUGGUGUAUGGUGACGAAAAUGUGAUGUAUGGCUCUAGUUUUAAUUAUAUCAUUUGUUACUUAGCAGUGAUUGAGAACUCUUAACUUGUAAUUUUAUCUAAUUUUUUUUUGCAGUGAUUGGAUCUUUUUGCGUAAUAUAUAUUUUAUUUGCAAAUACCGACUGUGUUCUUUUUAAAUAGUUUAAAGGCAUAUGCUUUAUUUGAAGACAUUAGUUUAUUAUUCUCUCCAUCAAAUCUACUACAGUAAUCUAAGUCGAGGCUGUCAGGACAUGUCUUAUGAUUUUCGUACUGAAACUUAUGUGCUUUCAAUGUGGUCGUGGCUUGUACAUUUGUAAAGAAACUAUUUACUAGUAUCUCUUGAUGUUUGAUGGAGGGACAAGUGGAACCUUGAACAGAAGCUUAUGUAGCAGUCUUUAAUGCAGGCUGUUGUUUUGUAAAAUAUGCAACUUCUGAAGAUGCGGAUAGGGCCAUUAGAGCAUUGCACAAUCAGAUCACUCUUCCUGGGGUAACUACCAUUGAUGCCUUCUCUUAUCAAGGACAGGAAAAUACAGGUUAACUCAUCUUUUACAAUUUGCUGAUUCCCAGGGAACUGGCCUUGUUCAAGUUCGAUAUGCUGAUGGGGAGAGAGAACGCAUAGGUAAUCAACUUUCGCGCCAUAUUAUCUGAAUCUGGCCUUCAUUGUCUGGUAUACAUAGGGUGACCAUACGCUGUACAAAUUCAAAUUACGAGAAUUGAGAUAAUGUGGGAAACUAUAUGAAUCUUAAGGAAGUGGAUCCUUUUUUCUGUGGUCCUUGCCUCACUCUCAAGUAUUAACUGAUUGAAUUUACUUCUUCUGAAGGUGCGGUAGAGUUUAAGCUUUUUGUUGGUUCCUUAAACAAGCAAGCCACUGAAAACGAGGUUGAGGAGGUAUGUCUCAUAUCCUACUUUUUGAUGGAAAGUAAUUACUUAUGUCUGAUUUACAAAGAGGGAAGCGUUCUAAAUUUAGAUAUUACAGUAUCCCCUGUCGCCUUAGCUGGUAAUUUUAGUGAUUAUAUGACAAUUUAGUAGUCCUCUUGGAAGGGUCAGCGGCUUGAAAUUUUGUGUCAACUAUUCGAGCGCUUACACAUUUUACUAACUGAGUGAUCUCUUCUUUCAAAUGGACUGACUGAGUGAUCUCUUCUUCCAAAUGGAUGUAACUUUUUGGCUGUCAGCUUUCUUUUCUCAGUAAAUAUGAUGAAGAUGUGAACGGCUACUUUGUCCUGUUGUUGCUUUAACAGCUCUUUUUGCAAUUUGGUCGCGUGGAGGAUGUCUAUCUCAUGCGUGAUGAAUAUAGACAGAGUCGUGGUAUGUCUGGUAACUGCUACUAGAUUCUAUAAAUUGUUUGAUGGUGUUGAUAUGGUCAAACUGUUUUUGACACUCAUUUAGGAUGCGGGUUUGUUAAAUAUUCAAGCAAAGAGACGGCCAUGGCAGCUAUCGAUGGUCUCAAUGGAACUUAUACCAUGAGAGUAAGCUGUGAAUCACAUAAGUAUCUCACUUUCUCUCAUUAUCCCCUCUAGACCUGUUUUGUUUACUGGCCUCUUUCCCUUCUCCAGGGUUGCAAUCAGCCGUUGAUUGUUCGGUUUGCUGAUCCAAAGAGGCCUAAACCGGGCGAGUCAAGGUAUUGCCUUGGAGACUAUAUUUUGAAUUCAUUAUAAUGCUAAUAUCAAAAAAAUUGUGUCUACUGUCAUUGUUUGUUCUAUUGAGUUACAUUUAUGAGAAUCUUUUGGGGCAUGGGUGGAGGAGAGCUGCGAACCUUAUUCCUUCUCCAGUUAUUACUUGAAUGCGAUGAAUUUCUUUCUAUAUAUCCAUAACUAGUUUCUGUUUCCAGGGAAGUGGCACAUCCUGUUGGACUUUGUUCAGGGCCUCGUUUUCAAGCUUCAGGACCAAGGUGACUGGGGUGAAAGGAGAUCGUUGUUUUUGUCAUCAAUUAAUUAUAUAUUUUGACUAAACCUGGUCUCCUUAUCUUCAUUUGUUAGGCCUACAUCUAACCUUGGUGACCUUAGUGUGGAUGUGAGCCACACAAAUCCUUGGCGUCCUAUGAAUUCACCAAACAUGGGGCCACCUGGUAACACUGGGAUCCGUGGUACCGGAAGUGACUUGGCUCCUAGGCCAGGUCAAGCCACAUUACCUUCAAAUCAGGUAAGAACAGCUUGAUGAUCAUGUAUAUUAUCUUAUAUGUACACACCCAAUCACACAUAAAGUAAUCGGGCAUAAGGUUUUACAUGUAUUGUGUGAGUAGGACGAACAUAAUUUAUAUGCUGCACAUAUAUGAGCGUAUGGACUCUUGAAAAGAAGCAUGAAGUUCCGACCUUCCAGCUUUUCAUAUGAUGCAGCAAACUUGAUGUGUUUUGCAUUGAAAUGAUAUGGCUUUGAUUUGCAUUUUGUCAGUUUCUAAGGAGUUUUUUUCUUCAAUAAUUUCUACUUCUGAUGUUAGCUUUAUUUGUGGCAUUCUAUAAUGUUAGGGAGGUCCAUUGGGUGGUUAUGUUGUUCCUGCCAUUAACCCUCUACCAGUCUCAUCCUCUGCCACAUCGCAACAGGUACUUCAGCUGAAUUUUUCCAAUAAAGAAAAUCUGAAAAUGUUGUGUUGAUCAGUUAAUUUCAACUGUUUCUAUUCCAUAGCAAAACCGGGGAGCUGGCCAGCAUAUGUCACCAUUACAAAAACCUCUUCACAGUCCACAGGAUGUGCCCCUUCGACCACAAACUAAUUUCCCUGGGGCCCAAGCAUCCUUGCAGAAUCCUUAUGGUUAUAGCAGCCAGUUGCCUACUUCUCAGCUGCGGCCACAACAAAACGUCACUCCUGCAACAGCUCCUCAAGCUCCUUUGAACAUCAACCUACGGCCAACACCUGUAUCUUCUGCAACUGAUCAAUUGCGCCCUCGUGCUCAGCAGCCACCGCCACAAAAGAUGCAACAUCCUCCUUCUGAGCUAGUUCAGCUCUUGUCACAACAGACUCAGACUCUACAAGCAACCUUCCAAUCAUCUCAGCAAGCAUUUUCUCAACUGCAGCAGCAGGUGCAGUCCAUGCAGCAACCAAACCAAAAAUUACCAGGCUCACAGACUGGCCAUGGUAAACAGCAGGUACAAACAUAGUUCCCUGUUGCAUCUGUCCAGUCCAGUUCCUCAGCUGUUUUUGUUGUUUUAACUUACAAUUAUUUCCUGAUGUCUAAGUAUUCAAUCCUUCAUAUAUUUUAGUAGUCCCUCUUUUUUAUUAUGUUUUUCUCGGUUGCUUCUCUAUCAGUGGGCUGGAUCUGCAAUUCCGACAGUUGUUAGCACCACUGCUUCUACACCAGUUAGCUAUAUGCAAACAGCUGCACCUGCAGCAACUCAGAGUGUUGUUUCUCGCAAAUGUAACUGGACCGAGCAUACCUCGCCUGAUGGAUUUAAGUAUUAUUACAACGGUCAAACCGGUGAAAGCAAGGUGAGAAACGUGGUUCCUCUUUAGUUAUGUUCUCUUGUGAGUUUCAGGAGGAUUCCUUGUAUUUGCUGUGCUAUUUAUUAUCCUUGAACAUGUAUAUGUAUAGAUUUCAUAUUUGAAGUUCAUCAAUACGUGUCGUAAUAUAAUUGACUUUUGCAGUGGGAAAAACCUGAGGAAAUGGUAUUGUUCGAACGUCAGCAACAGCAGCCAACUAUAAAUCAGCCCCAGACCCAAUCACAGCAGGCUCUUUAUUCCCAGCCGAUGCAGCAACAACCACAACAGGUUCACCAGCAAUAUCAGGGCCAAUAUGUACAGCAGCCUAUUUAUUCUUCAGUGGUUGGUUCUGUUUUCUUGCUGCUUACAUCCAUAUAGUUUUCUCACAUGGUCUCUAACUUGAAUAUGUAUUCUUUUCCAUUUGGAGUUGCAGUAUCCAACUCCAGGGGUCAGCCAGAAUGCUCAGGUGUAUAUUUAGUUAAAUUAUUUGCUUAUCUUUCAUUUCAGAAUUUGAUCAUUGAGUUACCAAUCUAGUGGUAUAAGGAGACGGGCCACUUUAUGCAAUAAACCAUGGUUUUACAAGCGUUUUGAAUAUACAGAUACAAACAUCUAAAUUUGAUCAUUUCAAAAUUUGAUCAUCGAGUUCCCUUUUCAAUGCAGUAUCCGCCGCCAUUGGGAGUUAGUCAAAAUAGCCAGGUACAUAUUUGAACCUUAUUUCACGUGGGACUAAUUGAAAUUCGAUUUUGAUAUGCAUUUCAUAAAUGUGAAGAUUUGAUGAGUGGUCGUUUUGGUAGCGUUUUAGAAAACGAUAUGCAUAUAUUCUCUAGUUGAAUAUUUCUUUUUUCUGGAACAUGCAGUUUCCUAUGUCAGGCACCGGUCAAAAUGCUCAGGUACAUAUUAUAUCAUGCAUCAUAUCUUCUGAUUAACUUCAAAUUUAAUCAGAAAACAUACGUGAGAUUCCAGUAGAAACAAAAUCGAUAUGACUGUAUUGGUUGGAAAUGGUUAAGGCAGAGCUCAUGUUCUAAUGUGUUAAAAUUUUCUAGGAAUUUGGGCGGACAGAUACACCAGUGGGGGUUGCUUCCAUCAAUAAUCCGUCACGAACUCAACAGGUUGCUAUCGUUUUUAUUCAAUGAUCCUAAACUUCUCACUGUUCAUAAUUCUUCCUUUGACAUCACAUGCACUGUUUGUGAGGUUGCAUCACAUUCUCCCUUACCGAAAACAUCCCCAUCUUUAUGAGUUUCCUUUAUUUUGAGGUUGCAUCUAAUUCCCUGUGUUGAUACUGCGCAGGUACAUGAAAGGAGGAGCUGAAAUCUUUCAGUAACUAGACAUAGAAAGGUGUGGAACUAAUUAUUAGUCAAGCAGAGGAAAAGCAGCAACGGCAGUGUUCUUGGUCUCUGAGUUUUAGUUUACCCCUUCAGGUAUAAUAGAUAGGCAAUUCGCCUACCUGCUGAAUUCUAUCUUUUCUCUAAUCAGAGAUUUCUUCUUCUUUUUUAUUCCUAGAGUUGACAAUCAACACGUCUGUUGUAACAUAGAUAGCGCAAGUCAUGUCACAUGUAGUGUUAGUAUUAGUAUACAUUUAACUGGUAAAACAGAACUUUGAUCCAAACUUGGUAAGAGUAAUAUAAAUGCAUAUUCAGAUAUCAUCUUUAAACCAAUAAGCACGGUUUGAGAUUUCAUCUUAAUUGCUCUUUUUUUUUUUUUUUCCCAAAUUAUUUUAUUAUUAAUAGAGUUUUUAAAACCCAACAAAGACCCAAGCUCAUCCAUACAAACAACCCACACCCAAGCCCGAUUCUAGUGGGCCACUAUUACAACCUUAACCCGUCGGCGGCCCAAACCCAACUCGCUUGAUUUCUGUCGGACUGCGCAUCAAGGAAACCGGACGCGUGGAAGGAUAAGGACCCAUCAGCACGCCACGCGCCACUUCCGUCUCGACUUGACCGCCACCGUGUCGAAGAAUCGCCGGAGUUUCACCACCCCCGCCCUCGAAGCCAGAGACACCAAAGGGUCACCCCCGAGACCUCUUCUUCUCUUCACCGCUUUGUCUAACCUUCGGAGAGCCUCAUCGAUCCAAUCGAGAGCUCAUCCGACAGAUCACACCGCGGACCACUUCGAACGAAGAGCCAAACCACACACUCAAAACACCACCAGGACCAGAACCGAUCAAACUAACUGAAGCAAACUAAGGCGGGCGAAGCAAGACUGUGAAAGCCUUCACCCCCCAGAGACUAGAACCGACUACGGCGAAGCUGAGGAAGCUUCCACCUCGCGGCGACAAGAACCGGCGGCGGCGAAGCUGUGGAAGCCUCCACCUCCCGGAAACAGAACCCAAACAACUAUCAUCUUCACCGCGCCAACCCUCCAAGCAACCGCGUCUUCACUCCAAGAACAGAACCACCGCGGAAGGUGUUUGGCCAGAGGUCAGACAAGGCGGCCACUGAAAGAGACGAGGAGAAGAGAACUCCGGACCAAUUAAACUGAAGGAUGAUGGACUCCGGCAUCGGCACGCACGCUCACGCGCCGGCCGAACGCCGAAACCACCACAGAUCUACUUUCUCUCUCUUUUCGUUCUCUGUGUCUUUCUUCUUGUACUAUUCUAAACUUUCAUCUUCAUCUUAAUUGUUCCUAUCUAUAAGUUUAUUCGAUAAAUCAAAAUUAUGGUACAAUUAUAAAAUUUAUGGGUUUCAACAUAAAAACAAACAAAAUUCAAUAGAAUAUUAAAAUAACUAGGUUUUAUAAAGGCAAUUGCAAAUGGCCAAUUCUCUCAAAUAGUUUUUUUUUUAAGUUUUUGUUACAAAAAUAGUCUUUAAGGAAGAAAAUGAUCAAAAUAGCUCUUCUUUAUUUUCAAUAUUUUAAUAUUUAUUUUUUGUUUUUUAAAAUUUGAAACCCUAUCUCCAAAAUCGUACCAUUUAAUUAUAAACCCUAAGUCUAAAUUAGUUAACCUUACCCUUUAAUAAAAAAAAUUUUAGUCAUUUUUUUAUUGAACACUAUUUUUGUAACAAAAACUUAAAAAUGACUAUCAUAGGAAAUUUCUCAUUGCAAAUAUUAAUUUUAAUAAUAUCAUAAGUUAAUGCAUAUGCAACCUAAAUAAUUUAUAUAACAAUGAAAUAUGACUAAUACACUCUUUGUUUUCUUAAUGUUGAUUCGAUAUAACAAAAAAAUAGUGAUGUCAUGUUUCCAUUGCUCUUUGUCAUUAGAAGUUUUUUUUUUUUUUUUUUUUGUUUUUUUGGUAAAAUUGUCAUUAGAAAUUCCACAGCUUUUUACUAAAAAUACAAACAAUUUUGUUUUCUUGUAUCAAUUCAAUUUGGACAUAAGAUUGAAGAAUCGAUGAGACAGGAGUUAAGAGAUGUCUUGGGAAUACAAAAUUUGGGAGGAAUGGGAUCUUAUUUAGGAUUACCGAAAAAUCUUGGCGUUUCUAAGAUUCAAAUUUUUGGUUUUGUUCAUGAUCGCUUAUAUAAUAGGGUAAAUGGAUGGACUUUUAAAUUUUUCACAAAAGGAGGAAAGGAGGUGAUCAUCAAAUCAGUGAUUACGGCAUUGCCGAACCAUACGAUGUCUUGUUACCGAUUACCUAAGGCCACCGCAAAAAAAUUAACGAGUGCAGUAGCCAAAUUUUGGUGGAGUCCUGGAGGUAGUACAAGAGGACUACAUUGGAAAUCUUGGGAUAAGGUAUGUGUCAGCAAGGAAGAAGGGGGAUUAGGUUUUAAGGAUAUAACCGAUUUCAAUACAGCAAUGCUUGGUAAGCAGUUAUGGAGGCUAAUAGAAAAGCCACACACGUUAUUUUCCCGGGUUUUUAAGGGUAGGUAUUUUAGGAAUGCCUCACCACUUGAACCGGUUCGAUCAUACUCUCCGUCAUACGGCUGGAGGAGUAUUGUCUCUGCUAGAUCUCUGGUAAGCAAAGGACUAAUCAAAAGGGUGGGAACAUGAUCUUCUAUAUCUGUAUGGAAUGACCCGUGGCUACCAACCACUCGCCCGAGACCAGCCAAUAAAAAUCAACACAAUUUGUUUCCCGACCUUACAGUGGACUCCCUUAUUGAUUCCACUUCGCGAAGAUGGAAUUCGCAGGUUCUUCGGACUUUGGUGGAUCCACAGGAUGUGAAAAUCAUAGAAAGUAUACCUUUGAGUAGACACCAGAUGGCAGAUAGUGGUGGAUGGCAUUUCACAAAUAAUGGAAACUUUUCGGUUAAAUCAGGAUAUCAAGUGGAGAGAAUUUACCCGGAUAGGGAGAGAAUACCGUUAUUCAUUGGUCCUACGGUUGAUGUUCUAAAGGCUUUUUGUUGGAAAAUACGGUGCCCACCAAAGAUAAAACAUUUUCUUUGGCAAUUGAUCUCAGGAUGUAUAGCAGUCAAGAAGAAUUUGCAGGCACGAGGGAUGCAAGGGGAGAUAUGCUGUGCAAGAUGUGGAGCAGAGGAGGAAUCGAUUAACCAUGUGUUUUUUGAGUGCCCUCCAGCUAUUCAGGUGUGGGCUCUGUCAAAGAUUCCAACAAAUCGAGCUAUUUUUCCGACAGACUCUUUAUUUACAAAUAUGGAUCAUCUAUUCUGGAGAGUCGCUCCACCGAUGGAAGAUCAUCAAUUUGCUUGGAUACUUUGGUACAUUUGGAAAGGAAGAAAUAAUAAGGUUUUUAGUAAUCUGGAGAUAGAUCCUAGGGAUACUCUUAAAUUGGCUGAGACAUGCAACACUCAAUUUUAAAUGUUUUCAUGAAGUUGAACGGGCAAAUCUCCAAAGCAGCACAUUUCUAAGUUUAUGUCACAAAAAUAGCCCUCAAAAACUAAAAUGACCAAAAUAGUAUUUCAUCUUUUGAAAAAUUUAAUUUUUUUUUAUUUUUCAAAAUUUGAAAUCUUAUCCCAAAACCCCACUCUCUAACUCUGAACCCUAAAACCUAAACUCUAAACCUUAAACCCUAAACUCUAAAUCCUUAACCCUAAAUCCUAAACCCUAAACCCUAAACCCCACUCCCCAACUCUAAACCCUAAACCCCACUCCCCAACUCUAAACCCUAAACCCUAAACUCUAAACCCUAAACCCUAAACCCUAAACCCUAAAUGCUAAAAU